CAAGGCAGGCUUCUGAACAAAGUGAGUACUCAAAAACUUUGCUUAUCAAUCAUCUGCUCGCUUUAUUUGCAAUUUUUAAAAGUUGCAACUACUAAAUGCAAUAGAAACAAGAACAUAUUAUACAAUAUUUAAUAUUAUGUAAAGUAGUAGGAGAAUAUUUACUGGAAUUACUUACAUGUAUUAAUUUUUUAGCUACCUAGUUUGGACAUAAUUACACUUUCUUUCUUGUUUUCCUAAUGUAUCAUGUGCUCUUCUACCACAGGUAUGCUGAUCUAGCAUGAAUUAUGGUUACUUGUGGACAUAAGCAGUUACUUUUCUGGAGUAGAAACAUUUUAAGGAAGGAUAUUAUCAUUGUUGUAGACACAGGACUUAAUAAAUUUGGUCCCAAUUUGCGUCUGUACAUAUUGGUCUAAAGGUUUCUUGUAUAUAGAGACAUGAAACCUAGCUUGAUGUGUAAAUAGACAGUAACCUUCUGAUAACAAGUAACUGAGUCUCAGCCAAUCACAAGCGACCAACUGUUAAAAAAAUGUUCAAAUAAACAGAUGCAAGGUGUAGCCAACAAGGCUGUGAUUGCACCUGCCUUCUGGUUUUUGCACAUCACUACCCAUGCUGUGGCUCCAGGGCUAGGUUUAUAUGUGGUGGGGCAGACGAUUUCGAAUCUUUUUUGGUCUAUACUGUUGCCCAAUUCUAUAAUUACAAAAAAAAGCCAAUUAAGAUUUGCAAAACUAGAUUUAUUGUAAUUUUGCUUUUUAAGAGACUUACCAAAAGGGCCAUCAUGGAUACUCACUAGUGUUGUGACUUCGGUGAAAAUGUGUUUUUAUUAUGUUUGGUAGAUUUUGCAAUUGGGUUUUAAUUCUGAAAAAGAUGCUUCCAACGAUGAAAUACCAUUUUAGCCUUAAUGCUUCAAUAGUAUUCUUCCCAGGUAAUUCUAGGACAGCAGGGGAAAAUUUUUAAGUUUCAGGGGUUUUUUUUUGUUUUUUUUAUUUUUAUUUUUUUUUAUUGGUUGUUCAAAACAUUUCAAAGCUCAUGACAUAUCAUCUUUCAUACAUUUGAUUCAAGUGGGUUAUGAACUCCCAUUUUUGCCCCAAAUACAAGUUGCAGAAUCACAUCAGUUACACAUCCACAUUUUUACAUAAUACCAUAUUAAUGACUGUUGUAUUCUGCUACCUUUCCUAUCCCCUACUAUCCCCCCUCCCCUUCCCUCUCAUCUUCCCUCUCUACCCCAUCUGCUGUUGUUUAAUUCUCUCCCUUGUUUUUUUUUCCCCUUUCCCCUCACAAACUCUUAUAUGUAAUUUUGUGUAACAAUGAGGGUCUCCUUCCAUUUCCAUAGUUUCCCUUCUCUCUCCCUUUCUCUCCCCCCACUCGUCUCUGUUUAAUGUUAAUCUUUUCCUCAUGCUCUUCUUCCCUGUUCUGAUCUUAGUUGCUCUCUUUAUAUCAAAGAAGACAUUUGGCAUUUGUUUUUUAAGGAUUGGCUAGCUUCACUUAGCAUAAUCUGCUCUAAUGCCAUCCAUUUCCCUGCAAAUUCUAUGAUUUUGUCAUUUUUUAAUGCAGAGUAAUACUCCAUUGUGUAUAAAUGCCACAUUUUUUUUAUCCAUUCAUCUAUUGAAGGGCAUCUAGGUUGAUUCCAGAGUCUAGCUAUUGUGAAUUGUGCUGCUAUGAUCAUUGAUGUGGCAGUAUCCCUAUAGUAUGCUCUUUUAAGGUCCUCAGGGAAUAGACCGAGAAGGGCGAUAGCUGGGUCAAAUGGUGGUUCCAUUCCCAGAUUUCCUAGGAAUCUCCAUACUGCUUUCCAUAUUGGCCACACCAAUUUGCAGUCCCACCAGCAAUGUACAAGUAUACCCUUUCCCCACAUCCUCGCCAGCACUUAUUGUUGUUUGACUUCAUAAUGGCUGCCAAUCUUACUGGAGUGAGAUGGUAUCUUAAGGUGGUUUUGAUUUGCAUUUCUCUGACUGCUAGAGAUGGUGAGCAUUUUUUCAUGUACUUGUUGAUUGAUUGUAUGUCCUCCUCUGAGAAGUGUCUGUUCAGGUCCUUGGCCCAUUUGUUGAUAGGGUUAUUUGUUAUCUUAUUGUUUAAUUUUUUGAGUUCUUUUUAUACUCUGGAUAUUAGGGCUCUAUCUGAAGUGUUUUUUUGUAGGCAGAAUCUUUCUAUGUUUACCAGGCUUAUCUCAAGCUCCUGGGCUCAAGUGAUUCUUUUGCCUCACCUUCCUGAGCAGCUAGAGUUACAGGCACAUGCCACUAUGCCCAGCUUAAAAUUCUAAUUUCUUUUGUAUCCAACCCAAAGUCUUAAGGAAGUUGGGUCAUCUCACCAGAGCAUGUAUUCAAAAAACACUUAUUGGGUUUUUACUAUUUAGUCUGAAAACCAUUUUUUCCAGUUCCUACUAUCACUUUUCUUUUCUACUCUCAUCUGAUGAAACACUGCAACUGCCAGGCCUGGUGGCACACGCCCAUAAUUCUAGCUGCUCAGGAGACUAAGGCAGGAGCAUUGUUUGAGCCCAGGUGCUUAAGACAAACCUGGGUAAUAUAGUGAAACCCUGCCUCAAAAACAAAGCAAUAACACUGCAACUAAGUAAUAUUAUUAAUCUUAAUUCUGCUUACCCUCAAAAUAGAUGUGACCGCUUUUGCUUCACACUCCAUAAUUUGGCAUGAAGUGGAAUUUUGUAGAACUGAGGCAUUCAUACAAGGAAUUGCGGUAGAGUACCUAGAAAAUAAAAUGAUAUCUGCGGAACACCAUGCAAUAUUCCUCUGCAAAAUUCCAUCAUAACAGUUAAAAUAAUUUCAGUUGUUUAAAAUGUUAUUUUGCACACUUAACACAUGUAAAAAGUCUUACUAUGUGUAAUAUUUUCAAGGAAAGUCAUGUUCCUAAAGUUUUGCCAUAAAUAUUUGUUACUCAUUUAUUUAGUUGUGCCACUUAUUAUUAUUAUACAAUCAAUCAACAAAUAUAUGAAAAAAAUGUUCACCAUUGCUAGCAAUUAUAGAAAUGCAAAUCAAAACCACUUUAAGGUUUCAUAUCACUCCAGUCAGAAUGGCAGCUAUUAUGAAGACAAACAACAAUAAAUGUUGGUGAGGAUGUGGGAAAAAGGCCCAUUUAUGCAUUGCUGGUGGGACUGCAAAUUGGUGCAAAUUGAUCCACAGCACCACAUUAAAAAAAAAAACAGCACCACACAAUGGAAUAUUACUCAGCAAUAAAAGAGAAUAAAAUCAUGACUUUGCAGGUAAAUGGAUGGAGUUACAGAAGAUAAUGCUAAGUGAAGUUAGCUAAUCCCAAAAAACCAAAUGCCGAAUGUUUUCUCUGAUAAAAGAAGGCUGACUCAUAGUGGGGUAGGGAGAGGGAGCAUGGGAGGAAUAGACGAACUCUAGAUAGAGCAGAGGGGUUGGAGGGGAAGGGAGGGGGCAUGGGGUUAUAAAUGGUCUUGGAAUGUGAUGGUCAUUAUUAUCCAAAGUACAUGUAUAAAGACACAAAUUGGUGUGAUUAUACUUUGUAUACAACAGAUAUAUGAAAAAUUGUGCUGUAUAUAUGUAAUAAGAAUUGUAAUUCAUUCUGCUGUCAUAUAUAAAUAAAAAAACAGAAAGAAAAAAGAGAACAUAAACACCAACUCAAAUUCAUUAUUUUAAAAUAUUUUGAUAUUUUAAUUCCUGCAUCUAGUGCCUGAUAUGGAUGUACCCCAAUUCCUCAAUUCACAUCAUUCAGUUUUUUGAAUAUUAAAAUAAACUAUAUAAAUCUUAUACAUUAUGGUAGAAGUCAGAUACCCACAACACAGUUUUCAACAUUAAAACAAAUAAUAUAUAUUAGUAUAAAACUCAGAUACACAAAACAUCUAUCAUAUAUCAACAAUCUAUCUCUUAAGAAAAUAUAUCAAGGAGUGAGUUUGCUGAGCCAAAGUUAAUGUUUAUCCUGUUCAAUGUAUUGUUUUAUGGGUUGAAUUUUGUCCCUUGAAAAUAUGUAGAGGUCAUAAACCAUGAAAAUAGUGACUUUUUAUGUUAUCUAGAGAUACAGUCUUUGCAGAAGUAAAAAAAUUAAAAUUAAAAAAAUAAGACAAGAUCAUACUGGAUUAGAGUGGAGCGUAAUCCAAUGACUAUGUCCUUAUAGGAAGAGGGAAAUUUGGACACAGAUACUUAGGAAAGAAGGUCAUGUGAGGAUGGAGGUAGAAGUUGCACCUAUGAGUUAAGGAACACUAAGGAUUUCCAGCAACUACCAAGAUAAAAAGGAAAUGAAGGCUCUUUUCUUAGGGACUUGUGAGGUAUCAUAGCCUUGCUUACAUAGUGAUUUCAGAUUCAUAUCCUCCAGAACUGUGAGAGAAUAUAGUUCAAAUGUUUUAAGCCAAGUUUGUAAUACAUUUCUAGAGUAGCCCUAGGAAACCGACAGCUGUUGUAAGAGUAGUAUCCCUAAAGAUAAAUGUUCUUGUCUCAUUUCCUGAUUGAUGAUGAAAUUCUUUUCAAUGAUUAUCAUUUACAGUAUAUUCAUUGUUGGUUUUGGGUAAGAAAUCUGCCUUGAGAAUUUUUCUUUAGUUCUUAGUUUGCAAGGCAGUUUUAUUAAUAAGUCUGUGUUUUAUCAAAUUAUUUUCAACAUUUAUUGAUAUGAUCAUAAUGCAAUCUUACUUCAUUGUUAUAGAAUGAAUUAUGUUGAUUUUUUGUGAUAAUUGGCCCAUCUUCCUAUUCCCAGAAUAAACCCUACUUCUGACUUUAUUUUCUAAGAUUUUAUUUUUAAUUCCUCAUCUAUAUCUAUAAAUAAGAUUGGGCUAUACUUUUUACUGCUGUUAUCAAUUUAAAAAUUUUUUAAUAUCUUUAUUUUGUUUAUUUUUUAUGUGGUGCUGAGGAUUGAACCCAGUGCCUCACAUGUGCAAGGCAAGCGCUCUGCCACUGAGCCACAACUCCAGCCCACUGUUAUCAAUUUUGAUAUUAAAUCAUAUUUGCUUUGACAGUAAAUCAAAUCAAAAUAUAUUGGAGAACUUUUAAUCUUUUUCUAUUCACCUAUAAUACUGUAUGUUACAUUGAAAUUAGCUUUAUCCCAUAAUUUCAUAUAGAAUUCACAUUUUAACUGUUCUUUUUAUGGCUUUUAAAAAUGCAUAUUUGAAAAACAUUAAUUUUUACCAAAGUAGAAAGUAUUAUAUGAUAAAUCUUUUCAUAUUUGCUACUAAUCUUUAAUUCAAAUUGGAGUUUUAAUUGGCAGGUAACUUUAAUCAUUUGUCUUCCUAAGUAAGGCCAUCAGACAGACAUUAAUUGAGACUAGUGCAAUGUCACACUUUUCCUUAGGAAGGUGGAAACUAAACACUUGAUAUGAACUUAAAUCCUGGCUCCUUAAGUCAUGAUUGAGUAUCAGUUGCUCAUCCCUGGUGAUAAUGGAGACAAUGGUAGUUUCUGCUUCCUAGGAUGGCUGUGAGGAUUAAAUGAGUUAAUAUAUAUAUAAGUCAUAAAGGAGGGGGACCCUGUGGCCCCAUCCAGAUAUCCAGUUCAGAACUAAAGCACUCAUUUUCCACAGCUUUUGGGAGAUGGCUGCUGAUGCUCACAAUUGGGUCCCCCCAUGGGACUACCCUCCAAUAAAAGUAAUUGCUUUGAACUGGCUCUAUCAUGGGGCAGCAUAAGACCAAAAAUUGUUUGAUUCUGUCUGGUCCACUUGCCUCAAUUCAGGAUAACUCUGAAGAGACAUCCAACUUCAAAGCUCCCAGGGUGUUGAUUGAAAGCUCUGUUGUGGCUGCUAAAUCCAACUUGUUUUCCUGCCCAGUUCUGUUUCCCUCAUUCUCUCAGUUGGUAAAAAGAGAAUCACUGAAAAGACUACUGCAUGCCAUUUGUUGCAAAGUCUGUUUCCAGGGUGGCAUAGCCUAAAAUAAUGCUUAAAAUAUCACUUGGUAAAUAUUCAAUAAAUGCUAACUGAUAUACAAAACUACUGAUAUUAUUAUCAUAGAUCUCAGAUAGUGCUGAGUCUCUCCUGCUAACCUUAGAAAUCCAUGCAGUGGUGGGUUCUCUUACUUAGUCUUGGCUUAAGUCAUGCUUUUUUUCACUCUGGUACUUAUGUUCUGACUCUUAACAGUGAUGAUGUAAGAAGGUUUACAGCUCCUAACAUGGAGGAUAAUUCCACUUGAGCAGAAUAACAGCAUUUACUAUGUAACAUCAUUGACUACCUCCAAAAAAUAAUAGAAUUGGUUAUUUUUGUUUUACAAUUCAAAGCUCAAUAUGUUGUAGGUUAUGUUGGUAGAAGCUGUCAGACAAAAUAUAUUUGAAGCCAAGAGUUAAAGGAAGAAAAGAAAAUGGACUUUAAAUGUUAAGAAAAUAUUGAUUAAUGUUUUCUACAAUUCUGAAUUGUAGUGAUAAACCUCCUCGAUCCAGCUAGUAGGAAUCUACAUUGAAACCUGUGUGUGUGGGUGUGUGAUAUGCCAGGCAAACUACUUGAAAUAUAUAAACAGAUAUAUUUCAUUCCACAUAUGUGCAUCAAAGAAGUGAAGCUAUUUAUUAUGUGGCUAUUGUGGUUAAUUGAAGAUGGAUGAUAAUGCCUGAAUUUGGUAUGAGGGGGUUGAGAUAUUUUUAUUAAUUUGACAUUCUUCCCCUAAACAGAAUUAGCAUCCAUCCCAAAUGUUAACAGUAACUUACAGAAGUACCAAAAAUAUGAUAAGUUAACAAAUUGUCAUCAACUUGAUUUUUAAUUUUAUUAUUAUUAAUAAUAUUAUUUUUAUUUUGUAUUUAAAUUUAAAUUCAUCCAAAUAAAGCUAUGUGGUUUAAUUAUUAUUAUUUGGGCAGUGAGGAGUAUCAUUUAUGUACACUAUUUAUAUAAAAAGGAAAUUUACAAUUUACAUGAGAGCAUUUCUUUGUGUCCUUCUGAAAGCUUGUUAUUAAAGUUUUGUUGUCUAGUUCUCAUACCUGUGCUAGAAUUUAAUGGUUUAAUUAUGUCACCAAUUAUUCCUUUUCAAUAUCCCUUUCAAGAAUCUGUGGAAUCCCCAGCAAUUCUGAAGAAGUGAGAUUGAUAGGGCAAAGGAGAUACAUACUGAAAUAAGAAAAUACCAUAUUUGCCCUUUGUUUUGAGCAUUUCAGGGGGAAAAAUAAAGUCAAUGCCUUUAAUUACAUAAACAAAAAUGUGUAUAGAUGAUGAGCCCAGAGGAGAACAGGAUCUGUAAUCUCUAUCAAAGAUUGGACAUUAAAAAUGAGAUGCCCAGGUUAAGUAUACUGCAGAAAGAGCCAAUGUUUCUUACCUAUUUGUAGCCAAUUUAAUAAAAAUAUUCUGAUGUUUAAAAAACAUAAAAAAAUCAGUAAUAAUUCAGUACCAUAAAUGCUGUUCCUAGCAAACUUAACAGGCUAUGUAAAUUCCAAUGUAAAACAAAUUGAUAAGCACCAUGUUUUCCUUAGAGGCAAAUUUAAAUUUCUAAGAGGAAAAAAAAGAGUUGAAUGCAUUAUUUCAAAACAUUUAACUUGUUCCCAAAGCAGCAGUUUUAUUUCAUGAAUGGUGUGGGUGGGCUCUGGAGACACAGCAGAGCUACCUAUAUCAAUGGACUGGCUAUUAUUUGAAAUCUGAUUGGCUACAAUCAUGCUCCAUUUUGAAUACCUUCAAAUAAAGACUAAGGAGUCAAGAAAAGGGGAAUUAAAAGAAAUUUGGGAAUAAAAUACAACAGUUUUAGAGAUUGUUUGGUAAGUAAAAUUUAUCUCUAAGUCAGAAAGUUUUUUAAAAAUAUGCUUUGACAUUUGCCAAACUAGAAAUUGGAGAAUCAAAUGUGGCGUCCUCUGCAUGUCCUCUUAUUUGAAACCAGAGCAGAAACGAUUGAACUGCUAUAUCAGGAAGAGUCACAACAAGGUACAGCAUGAUUCAAAUUCCUCCCAAGGUCAAUGACCAUAGUUCUGUGGAAGGAUACAUACCUGGAGAAAAACUUGAAGGCUAGCCUUCUCCAGAUAUGUAUCCUUCCACAGAACUAUGGUCAUUCCUUUGUUUUUUACUUUUAUUUGACAGAAACAUUUUUAAAAUUUACUUUCUUUUUUGGUAGGGGAUUGAACCCAUGGGUGCUUUACCACUAAGCUACCUCCCUAGUCCUUUCAAAAAUUUUAUUUUUAGACAGAGUCUCACUAAAUUGUCCAGGUUAGCCUUAAACUUGCUAUCCUCCUGCUUCAGCUUCCAGAGUUGCUGGGAUUACAGGCAAAUGCCAUAACAUUUACUUUUAACAGUUACAUAAAAAGAUGAACAUCAUACAUAUUUAUGGAGUACAUGUGAUGGUUUGAUAUAUCUUUUGUAAUAUUUAAAUCAGGGUAAGCACAUAUAUUUCCUCAAUAUUCAUCAUAUUUUAUGAUGAAAACAUUCAAAAUUCUUUCUUCUAUUUUUUUGAAACAUGCCGUACAUUAUCAUAAUCUAUAGUCAACCUAUUGUGGCCCACCAGAACUUCCUACUCAUUCCUAAUUGUGACUUCAUACUCAUAGAUUGACCUCUCUCAUUUCUCUUUCACUCUGACUUUCCCCACAUUCUGGCAUCCACCAUUCUACUCUCAACAUUCAUGAGAUCAACUUUUUUAGACUCCACAUGUGAAUGAAACCAUGUGGUAUUUAUCUUUGUGUGCCUGAAUUUUUUUCUUUUAACCUAAUGACUCCCAGUUCUAAACAUGUCACAAAUGACAGGAUUUUAUUGUUUUCUAUUGCUGAAUAAUAUUCCAUUGUGUAUCACAAUGUACCACAUCUUUAUCCAUUCAUCAGUGGAUGGAUGUUCAGCUUGUUUCUAUUUCUUCGAUAUUGUAAAUCAUGCUGCAAUAAACAUAGGAGUGAAAAUGUCUCUUUGAUACACUGACUUCAUUUCCUUUGGAUAUGUACCCAGUAGUAAAAUUUUUGGAUCAUGUGGUGAUAUAUUUUUAAAUUUUUGAGGAUCUUCACACUGUUUUCCAUAAUUAUAGUAGUAAUUUACAUUUGUGCCAAUGGUGUGUAAGGGCUGUCUUUCUCCAAAUCCUUACCAUCACUUCUUAUCUUUAGUCUUUUUAUAAUAUCUGUCCUUUCUGAAGUGAGGUUAUAUUUCAGUGUGGUUUUAGCUCGAAUUUCCCUGAUGAUUAUUGAUGUUGAGCAUUCUUUGCAUACCUGUUGAUCAUUUCUAUGUCUUCUUUUGAUAAGUCUAUCAACUAUUUUUUUUCAAAAUCAUAUUUUUUUGCUAUUGAGUUUUUUGAGUUUUUUAUAUUAACCCCUUAUCAGAUGUAUAGUAGGCACAUAUUAUCUCCCAUUUUGUAGGUUGUCUCUUCAUUGUUUCAUUUGCUGUGCAAAAGCUUUUUAGUUUGAUGUCAUCUUAUUAAUUUAUUUUUGUGUUUGCUUCCUUCCUGUGCUUUUGGAGUCCUGUCUGAAAAAUAUCCUUAUCCAUUCCAAUGUCCUAAAAUAUUUCCCCUGGAUUUUCUUCUGUUAGUUCCAUGGUUUUUGGAUCUUACAUAUAAGUAUUUAAUCCAUUUUUAGUUGAUUUUAUUUAUAACUGAUUCCUGAAUCUGAAAUGGCUUUAGAGAUAAUCCUGAUCUAUAUUCUUAAAAAUCUGUAUGAACCCUAGUAAGAAAAUACUUAGUAAUCACAUGUUAUGAAUAGGAGGAAAUAAAAAUCUAACAUAUAUGAGUGACUAAUUCAUGUGGAGUUUAACACAAAUAAUUUCACAUACACGAUAUCAAUUACUCUUUUUAAACCCUCUCAGAGAUCUGUAUAUGGGCCCUCAUUUUGACCAUUUAUAAAUGUUAGGCUUAGAGGGUCACAGUUGAGAAAUAGAAAAUACUUUUACUGUGGUAUGGUAUGGAGAAUUACCUCCAUCUUCAUAUAUAUAUUCUUAUAUAUAUUCCAUGGAGCUGGGCAUGGUGGCACACAAUUAUAAUCCCAGAGAUUUGGGAGGCUGAGGCAGGAGAUUGUGAGUUGCCUCAGCAAUUUAGUGAGGCCCUAAGCAACUUAGUGAGACUCUGUCUCAACAAUAAAACAAAACAAAACAAAACAAAACAAAACCUGUGCAGAUUUAUUGGCAAGAAAAUGCACAAACAUGAAAAUAAGAAAUAAUCUGUAGAAGAUAUGGAAGAGCAGACUUUUUAAAAGUAGAAUAGAUGUAAACAGAGAGGAUAUGAAAGACAUUGCCAGUGAUGAGACUUUUAUGUGCAAAGGCCCAUAGGUGGAUAAUCAAAUGUGAAUUAAGAAAAAAGCAAAAACAAUAACAAUCAUCAAACAGUAUGACUGGAAGAGUUCAGUGGAAGGAAAGCUUAAUGCUAAGUUUAAAGUUAGUCUAUACAUGUUAAAUUUCAGCACACAUGACCCUUUUGUUUAGCAUGUAUAGUAUUAUGGGAGGAUUAACUGAGUCUUCUGUUAAUCUGACAUGAAUAAAUAGAAAAGGAAGAUGGAUCAUAGAUAUGGGAAAGGAGACAAUGUGGGUGAUGUCAAUGAAAAUUUUAUAAGCCAGAUAUUUUUACAGUAGACUUAUGAUUGGGAGAUUUUUAAAAUUGGUUAUUACAUCAAACAUCUCUUACGGUUUGGAUGUGAGGUGUCCCUCAAAAGUUCACAUGUAAGACAAUGCAAGACAGUUCAGAGAAAAAAGUGAUUGGGUUGUAAGAGUCUUAAUCCAAUCAGUGAUUUAAUCCCCUGAUAAGGAUUAACUGUGUGGUAACUGAAGUGGUAGGGUGUGGCUGGAGGAGGUGGGAAUUUGGGCAUGGCUUUAGUAUAUAUAUUUGUAUCUGGAGAGUGGAGUUUCUCUCUCUCUGCUUCCUCAUGUGAACUGCUUCCCUCUGUCACUAUCUCCUGCCAUGAAGUUCAGCCUCAUCUUGAGCCCUGAGGAAUGGAGCCAGGGCUCCAUUAUAUGGACUAAGACCUCUGAAACCAUUAGCCUGCAAAUAAACUCUUUCUCCUCUAUAAUUGUGCUGGUAGGGUCCUUUAAUCAUAGCAGUGAAAAAGCUGACUAAUACAACAUCUGAUCUAUCUUACCUCUAACAUUAGCUUUAUUUAUUUUUAUUUUUAUUCAUUUAUUUUUGGUACUAGGGAAUGAACCUGGGGUGCUUAAUGACUUAGUUACAAGUGGUGGCACACACUUAUAAUCCCAGAGGGUUGGGAAGCUGAGAUAGGAUCUUGUUAAGUUUCUUAGGGCCUAAGUUGCUGAGGCUAUACUUGCACUUGUGAUCUUCCUGCCUCAAUCUACCAAGCAGCUGGGAUUAUAGGCAUGCACCACUGUGCCUGGCAUUAGCUUUAUUUUUCUAACAGAGCAAAUGGCCAUAUGCUUGGUACCUUUGAACAACACAAAUUUAUAAGUCAUACAAUUUUGAAGGUCAGAAGUUCUAAAUGGUUCUCAGUAAGAUAAAUAUGAAGAAUCAGAUGAACUGUAUCAUUUCUGGUGGCUCUAGAGGAGUGUAUUAGUUAGAUUUCCAUUACCAUAAUAAAAUAUCUGACAAGGCUCCUUAUUCAAAAAAAGAGGUUUAUUUAAAUAACAUGUCUGUUGGGUUCAAAGCCCAAACAGCAUAGUGAAAUCUUGGCAAAGGCUUCCCCUUGGCUUUAUUGCCUUAUGGUAGAUAGCAAUAGUGGAGCUCAUGAGGGAGGAAACAGAUUAGGUAUCCAUAGCAGGAAACACAGAGAGCUGGGUAGAGCCAGACUACUCAUUUUUUUUAAAUAGAGUAUAUUUUUUUAUUUUUUUAAUUUGUUUUAAUUAGUUACACAUGACAGUACAAUGAUCUUGACAUAUCAUACAUUUGAAUCAGAUGGGAUAUAAUUUCUCAUUUUUCUGAGUGUACAGGCAGACUUACUCAUUUUAUAACAGCCCUCAUUUUAUAACAGGAGAAAUCUAGAGAUCUAACAAGAACUACCUUCUGAUAGUAUGUCCCCAGUGAGUUAAAGACCUUCCACUAAAGCCCCACCUCAUUUUUAAAAAUUUAAUUUUUAUUUUUGUUGGUUUUAUUUUUUAUAUACAGGACAGCAGAAUGCAUCCCAAUUCUUAAAACACAUAUAGAACAAUUUCUCAUACUUCUGUUUGUAUAUAAAGUAUGUUUACACCAAUUCAUGUCUUCAUACAUGUACUUUGGAUAAUGAUGUCUAUCAUAUUCCACUAUCUUUGCUAAUCCCCUGCCCCUUCCCUUCCCCUCCCACCCCUCUUCCCUAUCUAGAAUUCAUCUAUUCAUCCCAUGUUCCCCCUCCCUACCCCACUAUGAAUCAGCCUCCUUAUAUCAGAGAAAACAUUCAGCAUUUGUUUUGGGGGGAUUGGCUAACUUCACUUAGCAUUAUCUUCUCCAAUGCCAUCCAUUUACCUGCAAAUUCCAUGAUUUUAUUCUCUUUUUUUGCUGAGUAAUAUUUCAUUGUGUAUAUAUGCCACACUUUUUAAACCAUUCAUCCACUGAAGGGCAUCUAGGUUGGCUCCACAGCUUAGCUAUUGUAAAUUGUGCUGCAAUAAACAUUGAUGUGGCUAUGUCCCUGUAGUAUGCUGUUUUUAAGUCCUUUGGGUAUAGGCUGAGGAGAGGGAUAGCUGGGUCAAAUGGUAGUUCCAUUCCCAGAUUUCCAAGGAAUCUCCAUACUGCUUUCCAUAUUGGCUGCACCAAUUUGCAGUCCCACCAGCAGUAUAUGAGUGUGCCUUUUUCCCCACAUCCUCGCCAACACUUAUUGUUGUUUGUAUGCAUAACAGCUGCCUUUCUGACUGGAGUGAGAUGAAAUCUUAGAGUAGUUUUGAUUUGCAUUUCUCUAAUUGCUAGAGAUGAUGAGCAUUUUUUCAUAUAUUUGUUGAUUGAUUGAAUAUCCUCUUCUGAGAAGUGUCUGUUCAGGUCCUUGGCCCAUUUAUUUAUUGGGCUAUUUUUUUGUCAUUUUGCUUUUUGAGUUCUUUAUAAACCCUAAAGAUUAGUGCUCUAUCUGAUGUGUGAGGGGUAAACAUUCACUCCUAAGAUGUAGGAUUUCUAUUCACCUCACAGAUUUUUUUUUUUCUGAGAAGAAACUUUUUAGUUUGAGACCAUCCCAUUUAUUGAUUCUUGAUUUUAAUUCUUGUGCUAUAGCAGUCUUAUUAAGGAAUAUGAGACCUAAUCCCACAUGACGGAGAUUAGGGACUACUUUUUCUUCUAUUAGAUGCAGGGUGUCUGCUUAUAUUCCUAAGUUCUUGAUCCUUUUUGAGUUGAUUUUUGUGCAUGGUGAGAGAUAAGGAUUUAAUUUCAUUUUGUUGCAUAAGGAUAUCCAGUGUUCCCAGCACCAUUUGUUGAAGAGGGUAUCUUUUCUCCAAUCCAUGUUUUUGGCACCUUUGUCUAAUAUAAGAUAAUUGUAAUUUUGUGGGUUAGUCUCUGUUUUCUCUAUUAUAUACCAUUGGUCUACCAGUCUGUUUGGGUGCCAAUACCAUGCUGUUUUUGUUACUAUUGCUGUGUAGUAUAGUUUAAGAUCUGGUAUAGUGAUGCCACCUGCUUAACUCUUCCUGGUAAGGAUUGCUUUAGCUAUUCUGGGUCUCUUACUUUUCCAGAUGAAUUUCAUGAUUGCUUUUUCUAUUUCUAUGAGGAAUGCUAUUGGCAUUUUAAUUGGAAUUUCAUUAAAUCUGUAUAGUGCUUUUGGAAGUAUGGUCAUUUUGAUAAUAUUAAUUCUGCCUAUCCAAGAGCAAGGUAGAUGUUUCCAUCUUCUAUGGUCCUCUUUGAUUUCUUUCUUUAGGGUUCUAUAGUUUUCAUUGUAUAGAUCUUUCACCUCUUUCAUUAAGUUGAUUCCCCAGUUUUUUUUUUUUUUUGAGGCUAUUGUAAAUGGGGUAGUUUUCCUCAUUUCCUUCUCAGAGGAUUUGUCACUUAUAUACAGAAAUGCCUUUGAUUUAUGGAUGUUGAGUUUAUAACCUGCUACUUUGCUGAAUUCAUUUACUAGUCCUAGAAGUUUUCUGGUGGAGUUUUUUGGGUCUUCUAGGUAUAGAAUCAUAUCGUCAGCAAAUAGUGCUAGUUUAAGUUCUUCUUUUCCUAUAUGUAUCCCUUUAUUUUCUUUCAUCUGUCUAAUUGCUCUGGCCAGUGUUUCAAGAACUAUGUUGAAUAGAAGUGGUGAGAGAGGGCAUCCCUGUCUUGUUCCAGUUUUUAGAGGGAAUGCCUUCAAUUUUUCUUUAUUUAGAAUGAUGUUGGCCUGGGGCUUAGCAUAUAUGUUGAGAUAUGUUCCUGUUAUCCCUAGUUAUUCUAGUGUUUUGAACAUGAAUGAGUGCUGUAUUUUGUCCAAUGCUUUUUCUGCAUCUAUUGAGAGGAUUAUAUGAUUCUUAUCUUUGAGUCUACUGAUGUGAUGAAUUACAUUUAUUGAUUUCCUUAUGUUGAACCAACCUUGCAUAACUGGAAUGAAUCCCAGUUUAUCAUGGUGGAUGAUCUUUUGGGGAUGUUUUUGUAUUCAAUUUGCCAGAAUUUUAUUGAGAAUUUCUGCAUCUACGUUCAUUAGAGAUAUUGGUCUAAAGUUUUUUUUCAUUGAUGUGUCUUUUCCUGGAUUUGGAAUCAGGGUGAUAUUGGCCUCAUAGAAUGAGUUUGUAAUUGCUGCAUCUUUUUCUAAUUCCUGAAAUACAUUGAAGAGAAUUGGUAUUAGUUCUUCUUUAAAGGUCUAGUAGAACUCUGCUGUGUAACCAUCCGGUCCUGGGCUUUUCUUGGUUGGUAGGCUUCUGAUGGUGUCUUUGAUUUCAUCACUUGAUAUUGGUCUGUUUAAAUUGUGUGUAUCUUCCUGAUACAGUCUGGGCAAGUCGUAUGACUUAAGAAAUUCAUCGGUGCCUUCACUAUCUUCUAUUUUAUUGGAAUAUAAGUUUUCAAAAUAAUUUCUAAUUAUCCUCUGUAUUUCUGUUGUAUCUGUUGUGAUAUUUUCUUUUUCAUCACAUAUGCUGGUAAUUUGAGUUCUCUCUCUCCUUCUCUUCAUUAGCGUAGCUAAGGGUCUGUCAAUUUUAUUUAUUUUUUCAAAGAACCAACUCUUAGUUUUGUCAAUUUGUUCAAUUAUUUAUUUUGUUUUGAUUUCAUUUAUUUCAGUUCUAAUUUUAAUUAUUUCUUGCCUUCUACUGGUUUUGCUAUUGAUUUGUUCUUAUUUUUCUAGGGCUUUGAGAUGUAAAGUGAGGUCAUUUAUUUGUUGACUUUUUCUUCUUUUAAGGAACGAACUCCAUGCAAUUAACUUUGCUCUUAGAACUGCUUUAAUAGUGUCCCAGAGAUUUUGAUAUAUUGUGUCUAUGUUCUCAUUUACCUCUAAAAAUUUUCAAUCUCCUCCUUGAUCUAUCCUGUGACCCAUUGUUCAUUCAGUAGCAUACUGUUUAGUCUCCAGGUGAUGGAGAAAUUUUAAAUUUUAUUUUGUUGUUGAUAUCCAAUUUCAUUCCAUUAUGAUCUGAUAAAAUGCAUGGUAGUAUCUCUACUUUUUUGUGUUUGCUAAGAGUUGCUUUGUGGCAUAGUAUAUGGUCUAUUUUAGAGUAGGAUCCAUGUGCUGCUGAGAAGAAAGUGUAUCUGCUUGAUGUAGGUUGAAAUAUUCUAUAUAGGUCAGUUAAGUCUAAGUUUUUGAUUUUAUUAUUGAGUUCUAUAGAUUCUUUAUUCAACUUUUAUUUUGAAGAUCUAUUCAGUGGUGAGAGAGGUGUGUUAAAGUCACCCAAGAUUAUUGUCUUAUGAUCAAUUUGACUCUUGAACUUGAGAAGAAUUUUUUUGAUGAACAUAGCUGCACCAUUGUUUGUGGCAUAUAUAUUUAUGAUUGUUAUGUCUUGUUGGUGUAUGGUUCCCUUGAGCAGUGUGUAAUGUCCAUCUUUAUCCCUUCUAAUUAACCUUGGCUUGAAGUCUACUAUAUUUGAUACAAGGAUGGAAACCCCUGCUUGUUUCUGCAGUCCAUGUAAAUGGUAUGAUUUUUCCCAACCUUUCACCUUCACUCUGUGUAUGUCUUUACCUAUCAGAUGAGAUUCCUGGAGGCAGCAUAUUGUUGGGUCCUUUUUAAAUCCAAUAUGCUACUCUGUGUCUUUGAUUGCUGAGUUUAAGCCAUUUAUUUUCAGGGUUACUAUUGAGAAAUGGUUUAUAUUACCAGCCAUAUUUGUUUAUUUUUGUUAUUUAACUUGACUUGAUUUUCUUCUUUGAUUCGAUUUUCCUUCAGGGUACUACCUCCCUCUAUUGAUUUUCAUUGUUGCUUUUUGUUUCUUCUUCAUGAAAUAUUUUGCCAUUGAUGUUUUGUAGUGUUGGUUUUCUAGCUAUAAAUUCUUUUAACUUGUGUUUAUCAUGGAAGGUUUUUAUUUCAUCUUCAAAUCUAAAGCUUAAUUUUGAUGGAUACAAGAUUCUUGGUUGGCAACCAUUUUCUUUCAGAGCUUGAUGUAUAUUGUUUCAGGAUCUUCUACCUUUCAGGGUCUGUGUUGAAAAAUCUGCUGUUAUCCUAAUUGUUUUUCCCGUAUAUGUAGUAUGUUUCCUUUCUCUUGUGGCUUUUAAAAUUCUCUUCUUAUUCUGUAUGUUGGGCAUUUUCAUUAUAGUAUGCCUUGGUGUGGAUCUGUUGUGAUUUUGUACACUCAGCAUCCUGUAGGCUUCUUGAAAUUGGAUUUCCAAUACAUUCUUCAUGUUUGGAAAAUUUUCUGAUGUUAUUUCAUUGAAUGGAUUGUUCAUUCCUUUAGUUUGGACCUCUAUGCCUUCCUCUAUCCAUAUAACUGUUAAGUUUGGUCUUUUUAAGCUAUUCCAUAUUUCUUGAAUUUUCUGCUCAUGUUAUUUUUUACCAUUAUCACUGUGUGGUCUAUGUUCUUUUCAAGAUUAUAUAUUUUGUCUUCAUUGUCUGAUGUCCUAUCUUCCCAGUGGUCUACUCUGUUGGUGAUGCUUUCAUUUGAGCUUGUAAUUUGGUUUAUUGUUUCUUUCAAUUCAAGGAUUUCUGUUUGGUUUCUUUUUUAGCACCUAUAUCUCCCUGUUGAGGUGAUCUUUUGCUUCCUGUAUUUGUUUAUGAAGCUCCUUGUCAAAGUGAUCUUUCACUGCCUGUAUUUGCUCUCUUAUAUCUUCCUUGAGUUCACAGAAAAUUUUAACCAUGUAUAUCCUGAACUCUUUUUUGUCAUUUUUUCUGCUGUGGCUGCCAAUGAUUCUAACGAUGUGGUGUCUUCAUUUGUUUGGGGCACUUUCUUCCCUUGUCUUUUCAUGUUGCUCAUAUGUCCUCCUUUCUAGCUCUGUGGGUCUAUAUUGUUGUUGUUUUUACCCUAUAGUUUUUUAGUGCUCUUGUAGGGUUCCAAGACCUCUCCUUUGUGGGGAAGGACAAAGUUAACAUAUCCCAAUAUCAACAAUAUACCACCUAUGAACAAUUUGUUGUUAUUAAGAUGUUUACAAUUUAGUCUCAAUGUACAGAAAUGUUGGAUUGAAUUAUCAUCUAAAAUAUAAUCAAUAGUUUUAUAAAAAGGUUUACAGUUUCUGACAGUGGACAAUAAACUGGGGGUGGGGCUUAGGACGAUAGGCUGAGGAUGUGGGAUGUGAGGAUAUAGAGUUAAUAUAUUUUAGGUAGUAUGAAGGAGAAAUCUAGUGGGGAGAGGGUUAGUAGCAAGAGAAUAAACAGGAAGUAAUUUAGGGUAGGCAAGUAUGGGGGAUGACAGUCAUAAAUAAAACAAGCAUACAUAUGUAUUUAGAAAAAUACAGAUGUUAAAACAGUAAAAUUUGGAGAGGUAAAGGAAAAUAAAAGAAUAAAAAGGAAAAGAGGGGCUGGGGAUGUGGCUCAAGUGGUAGCACACUCGCCUGGCAUGCGUGGGGUGCUGAGUUUGAUCCUCAGCACCACAUAAAAAUAAAAUAAAGAUGUUGUGUCCACCGAAAACUAAAAAAUAAAUAUUAAAAAAUUCUCUCCCUCUCUCAAAAAAAAAAGGAAAAGAAAAAAAAGGGUAUAUACAACACCUCUAUAUUAUAUUAUUCAGAUGACUCAGUCCUCAAAGUCUUAUUUCUUACAAAGUUCUUGGUUUUACAUAUGUUGGCGAUGUGAGGGCUGGAGGAUGGAAGGGUAGAAAAGAAAAAAUCAACCAACCAACAAACAAAAAACUUGAAGGAAGAAGCCAGGGUUGUAGGUAGUUUUAGAGAUCCUUAUCUUUCCUGCUUCUCUGCUCAUCUAGUAGGUGGCAUCAUCUGUUGUAAGCUGGUGUCUCUGCCCUCUGGAUGGUAGAGGUAACCAGGGUGGGAAGACUGGUCCUGGUGCAGUGCGCCUGGAUGCGGGGAGUGGCACCCACCAGUCCCUGCAGAAAGACUGGACCUCAUGGGUCUCUUUUUGGAACUGCUCACUCGAGUGACAUCAGCGCCAGGUACUAUCUCCCUCUCUUGCCUGUAGAUUUCCCAAUUCCUGGUGUCUCCCUCUCCCCAGCAGUCAGUUCCCAAUUGAGGAAACUCUAACCCCGGGGAAUCUCCUGGAUGGCUCCCUUGUUGCCCUGCACACCUGGGUUGGGCAGCUACUGUGUUGUGUCACUGCUGCUGGGGAGGGGUAAGGUUGGAAACCUGGUACCUGGCCACUGGCAAUCAAAUUUGGGAACUGUCCCCACCUAACAUGGCGAGAAUGUUGAGCCAAGAUGCCAGUGGUCUGCUUUCAGCGAGGGGGUGUCUGGUGAGGUGGGGGGAGCGUAUUGAGGUGGGGGGAGCCAGGCGAUGCUGUUGUGCUGUGGGCAGGUAGCAGCUGAGUGACUGCGUGGUGAGUGGAGCAACGUCUUGCGAUCUAUAGAUGUGUUGAUAGUGAGUCUUGUGUGGAUUGGAACUUCAGGCUUUUUGUCCUGCUCUAAUGCCGGGCAUCCUACUCAAACGCUGAGGCCUGGAGCCCCACAUGGGGUCACAGUGCUGGAGAUUUCUGUGGAGAGCAGCUGGAUAGGUGUCCUCUAAUACUCUCAGAGAUGGGGUAUUCCGACUAGGUGAGAUCUGUGGGCGCAGUGGUGGGGAGCUCGCAGUGGCUCACUCCUAGGCCCUACCUCUUAAGGGUUGCAUGGCACCUCAAAAUAGUCCCACUCUGGGAACCAAACCUCUAAUCAUAUGAACCUUUGUGGGGUCACAUGUUAACUGUAUCCAAACCAUAGCAAUGAGAGUUUCUUUCCUUGAUUUUACUAGCUUCUACAUUUCGCUUGAGUUCCUUAGCUCAUGGACCCCUUCUAGUAUUUGCAUUAUUCUGAUUUCUGCUUUCCUCACAUAUUUUCUGAUUCUGACUCUCUGCCUCCCUACCUUACUUAUAAUGACCCUUUUGAUUACAUCGGACCACCCAGAGAAUCCAGUAUAAUCUCUAUAUUUCAAGAUCCUUAACUUAAUUAGGGACAUCUGCAAAGUUCUUUUUGACAUAUAAAGCAACAUUUUCACAGGUUUCCUGGGCUUAGGACAUGGACAUCUUUAAGUGACUGUUAUUUUGCUUAUAACAUGGCAAAAAUACCCACUCCUUUAGAGCCAUCCAUUCAUCUAUUCAAAUUGCUGCAUAAAUGCAAAAUUACUGUUCACAUCAGCCUUAACUGUGUCAUUGCAUCAAUUAAACCCUCUGUGACUCAACACCAUCAUUUGCAAAACUGAAAUAUUUUACACAUCUUUAAAUUUUGUUGGGGUAAUUAACAAGAUAAUAUAGGUGAAAAUAACUGCUAUUAACUAAAGUGGCAACAACAGCAAUAAUAAUAAUGACAUUCUGUAGUGAGAACCAAAAAUUCCUAAUGAACAUUAGUUAUACUAAAAUGCAUAAUAAAGUCCUUGAGACAGAUUGAAUAUACAUAUAUUUUUGAUACUGGGGAUUGAACCUAAGGGUGCUUUACUACUGAUCUGCAUCUGCAGCCUUUUUAAUUUUUGAGACUGAGUCUCACUAAAUUGCUUAGGGCCUCAAUAAGUUGCUGAGGUUCUCUUUGAACUCAUGAUCCUCCAGCCUCAGCUGCCUGAGUCACCAGGAUUAUAGGUAUAUGCCUGGCAGAUUGAAUAAUUUUUAUUAAUUUGAAGAAAAUUAAUUUAAAUACAAUCAAAUCAUUAUGGAAAAUAAUGGAGUCCAUUUAUUAAGUUCUCUUAUUAAUUCUGACUUAACUUCCCUGUUAGUAUUUCCACGUCAGAGAGUGAGUUUGGUGUGCUCAAAUAUUUCAAGAAUUAAUUCAUCAGAAAUUUUAGGUUAAUUCUGAUAUUUGCAUACUAGAUGCUGAUAUUCUAAUGAUGCUUUUGGGUGAGUUCAGUAUGUUUUUAGUUCAGGCAGAUCCUCUUAAAAUUGUACCAUGUAAUGGGGAAGAUGUCUGGUAACUUAGACAUAUCCUGAGGUUUACAUCAGACAGCUACAGACACUUACAACAUAAUUCAUACUCAUAAAUCUUUGAAUAUCUGCUAAAAUGCUAACAUAAUUUCCACCAAGUAGUUCUAAAAUUCUUUGGAAUAUGUGAUUUCCUUGAGCUCAAGGCAGUUUGGUAAUGAGAAAUAAAUGGAGUCUCCAGAUGUCUGCUCCAUCCACAUGUGCAAUUUGCAUCUGCAUACCUGUCCUUCUUUGUGAAUAAAUAAACAUUACUGUCUUCUAGUCCUGAAUAUUCUUUAAGACACAAAAGUUCAAGUUUAUUGUGUCCAGUUGUUAUAUCAGCAAGAACAUAAAGCCUUGUGAGCCAUGAGGGGUUCAACAAGUCAGAUAUUUCAGAAUCCAUGAGUUCCCCAAAACCUUUGCUUUAAGAAAAAAUUUCAGUAAAGUUUUUUAGUCUUGACAUUUAACUGCAUGAAAAUAAAAUCUAAAAAAUAGCCAAUAAAUGGAAAAUACAAAACAACUCCAACAUACACCUGCUGUGGUCCAAACUACAAAUUUUGAGAACGACUUGAUGACAGUUGGGUACACCAAACUUUCCUUUUAAAAUGAAAAUUUAAAUGACAUGAAACUUUAAAAUGUUCCCAUCUUUCAUUAUAGGCACUAAAUAUGUGACCAAUUGAACCUACUUCUUUGUUUAAUCCAGACUACUAAGAUUUCUUACCAGCUGUGGUUAUGCUCUGCUAAUAAUGUGCAGCAUAACUAGUGAAGUAAUGUUUUCCCUAAUACCCCAGAUGGGCUGCAUGUGGCCUCCUGGCAUAUGCUGGAGGAUACAGAUUCAAAAGACUCAGAGUUGUAUCAGGUCAUGGUGUUUGGGGAGAUUUGUGAAAGCAUCAUUUGACUCUAUGGGAAUAAUGAACCAUUAAGCUGAAGAUACAAUAUAGAAGAGAGUUUCCAUUACUGAAUGUUUUAUAAACCAGUUCCUCUGCUAAUAACUUCACAUAUGUAAUUGCAUUAUUUCCUCCUGACAGUAUCUUUUAUGCAUACUAGAUGGAGGUAAGUGCAAAAGAGAACAAUUGAGCAGGAAAGAAGACAAACAGUAUAAGAAGAGGUGUAAAGCAAUUUUAAAGAAGUGACCAAGGAAAAAAGAUGACAUCUGAACACAGCACUAAAGUAGGUGAGUAAGCAACCAACAGGGAUAUAUACAUACCUGAGGCAAAAUCUUUGAAUGCCUGUGUAAAAUCCACAGGGACCCUGCUAUAUGCUAUGACAACUGAAAGAAGACUGAUUUGAUGGAGGACUACUAGGGAAAUAAAGCAAAAAUUUAAGAGAGUGAGGUAUGAAGGAUAUAUGUCUAAGGAUUUGUAUGUAAUAGAAGCUGUGGCUUGUACCACUAUGAAGAUGGCAUGCAUUGUUUGCCCUUGCAGAUAACCUUUCCACUUGUCUCCUUUCCACUCUCAGUGGACCUCGGGAGGCAGAAUCUGUGGAUUGCACCACCCUGGAUCCCAUGUCUGAUGGCUUCCAUUCAUUCAGAUCUGGCCAGUUGGAAGAAUACACUGGCAGGAGAGCAGAGAAACAAGAACCUCUGUCCUGGUUAUGUAUAUCCACAGUUCUCCUCAAGCAACCUUCUCACAUGACUGUGGUUCUCACAGUGUCCUGGUGAAAUUGUUCCUUCCCUUUACUUAUUCAGACCUGGGCAAGGAAAGGCUUCCAGCUAUUGGUAGUUCCUAUUUGUUUUACUGUUUCCUAUUGUUUUCUUUAACCCCCUCUAAGUAUAGUCUCUUCAUUAGACUGUUCUGUUAAAUAUUCUCAAUAUAUUCUCUCUCUCUCUCUCUCUCUCUCUCUCUCUCUCUCUCUCUCUCUCUCUCUCUCUUUUCCCCUCCCUCCUUCCCUCCCUCCCUCCCCCCCCCCUUUUGGUACUGGGAAUUUAACCCAGAGGUGCUUUAACACUGAAUUGCAUCCUCAGUCCUUAUUAUUUGAAAUGGGAUCUUGCUAAGUUGUUUAGGGCCUCACUAAGUUGCUGAGGCUAGCCUCAAACUUGUGAUCCUCCUGUCUCAACCUCCUCAGUUGCUAGGAUUACAGGCCUCUACCACCACUCCUGGCUUCAAUGUAUAAUCUAUUCUACUCUGCCAAAACCCUUACUUGCCUCCUUUUAGUUAAUUCUCAAAACAACAACCAAGUUUUCCUUUUUGGUUCCCUGGCCAUCUUAGCAGCUGCUUUUGAUUGUGUGCCAUCUCACACCUAAGGCAGCAAGAUGGUGACCAUGAAGAAGAUGAAAAAGUUAUUGGAAUCAAUGAGAAUCACCUGAAUCAAACAGAAAGCCAUUAGGAAGGUUUUGAACAAAGUGUAGCAUCUCUGAUAUUUUAAAAUAAUAGUGUUGUCAGCCUGUUUUCUUGUAAAACUAGCCUUGGAAAGUGAUAUUAAAGAAAAAUUCUGCAUGAUUUAGUGAUUUGCUUUUUACCAGCCCAUUCAGGCAUGCUUCUGAUUAGAGAAUCACUGAAUUAAUGAUAUCCAGGUGCUCUAUAAUCUUAUAAUUAUACUCUAUAAUCUUCCCACAUGCUGUGCCCAUUUCAAUGUUAUUGCCAUUGUGGUGAUGAACACCAGUUUUUACCAACAAUGGCAUAGUACUCUAUUUUGGAUUUCUUCAUGACUGGGCAGUUGUUAGCAAUGAUCACCAAUUUUUCUUUUUGCUGUCUGAUCAUCUUCAGAGUCAGCUUCUACUCACAAGGUCCAGUAUAUACUUUCUGCUUCUUAUGUUGAGUUGGAGUCUAGAAUUGAUUGACUCCAAUGACUUUUUCAUCUUCUUCAUGGCCACCAUCUUGCUGCCUUAGGUGUGAGAUGGCACACAAUCAAAAGCAGCUGCUAAGAUGGCCAGGGAACAAAAACAGGAAGGCUUGGUUGUUGUUUUCAGAAUUAACUAAAAGGAGGCAAGCAUAUAAACAGCAAGACUAUUUAACAACAAUAACAAAUUCUGGUAAAGUUUGUAAAAUAUACUAACAGACCCUGAUUUAGAAUAUAACCAAGAGAACAUUCAUGUUGUACAUCCAUAUUAAAGAUCUCAUUAUCCUAGAAUUUGUCAACUCUGAUUAUUAAAAUUGAUUGUUUUGCUUAUUCUUUGUUGUCUCCAACUGCCAGUUGAAGAAAUGAAAUUAAAAUAAAAUCCCCUCAAAUAUGUAUACAUUGGCAUUCAUCAGUCUCAAUCUUUGUAAUCUAAAUUUUAGCCUGGAGCUUUAAAGUUUUAAAAACUGAUUAAAUGCAAAACAAUGCAUAGAAUCUUAUAAAUAUUGAGACAAUAAUGAAUUAUCAAAGAACCAACAGUGAUGCUAUUGCAGGGGCUAUAAAAUAGACAUUUCAAAAUAUAUGAAUAAACAUUAGAGAGAGUGAAUGGAAAUAUGGUGACAUGUAAAAGAAAGUACUAAGAUUGUACGAAUUGUAGCAAAAAGGCAGGAUUCUCCAGCUACCACUGAACCAUGUACCUCUGAGGCUUGAUCUUCAUCAUAUACUACUCUGUAUCUGUUGUUAGCACAUGGAGGGAAUUUAUUAUUGUACAGACAGAACAUGAAAAUUUCUAAGAAGACAGGUCUAAUUGUGUUUUCUCAUGGGGCAUAUGAUCUUACUGAGAUGACAACAAUGUCCCAAAAAAUGAAAUCCAGUUUUGUCUUCUAUUUCUGUUUACAGUGCAGGCCUAGACUAUCAAUCCAAAAAUUGCACAGUAUGAAUAAAACAAAUGUUGUAAAAGAAUUUUCUGAUCCUCAAGAUUACUUAAACAGGGGCAAGUGCUGGGGGUAAUAUUGGCCAUAAUAUAUUGUUAUAUUAUGUACAUGUACUAAUAUGUAACAACAAACCCCCACCAUUAUAUACAAGUAUAAUGUGACAAUAAAAAUUUGGGAUAAAAAAAGAUUUCUUAAACAACUUUGCAUUUGUUAUGAGAGGGAUGCCCGUUGACUGACCACAUCCAUCUUGUCAGAUGUGAAACCUAAUCCCAGCAAUAACUCAGGGAAACCAUUACUGACCUUGUGACUCUUGCUCUCUUAGCUAAGUUACAUAGGGUGAAUUUACAAGUGGGGACAGAUUUUGAUGUAGUUGAAAGUCACAUGAACCAGAUGGCUAUAGACAGGCCAAGCAUCCUGUGCCUGUUCAGUUUUUGUUUGGGUCUGGAAUAGAAGCCAUGCUAUCUCAGCACAAAUAAGACAUUUUUUUUAAAUGGAAGGGAGGUUAGACACUCAGCUGUGCCACCUGGCACCAUUAAAAGAAUGAGCUUGAACUGAUCAUGUUCAAGUGGAUAUUUUAAGUGUAAAAUCAACAGAAGUAAGUGAGAGAGAAAGAGAGGGAGAGAAAAACUAACAUUGUAAUAAAAGAGAUAGUUAAAAUGACCUUGCUAGAGGUGUGUUUUCCACCUGGCAUUGUAAAUGCCAAAAGGAUGAUUGCUUCUCUUUCCUUUAUAUCAAGCCAAGACAGGGCAGAGGCAGAUAAGUCCUUAGUAACAUGCACUAAAACAAAUUCAAGGAUGGAGAGGAAAAUUAGCAUCCUGGGAGUGUGAAAAUUCUUCAAAGCUUGGUGAUAGCCACUGUCCUGGAUCCAAGUAUGAGUUUUAAUUGGUAGGAAAAAAUGCAACACCAAAUAAUUAAAACUUUCUUUUUGUAAUUUGCACAGUUUCAAAAAAAUCUCUAUUUCUUUCCAAAGGCUAUGUAGUUUGCCCCAGUAUCAGGUUGAAAUAAUCUGACUUUCCCAUGAGUCUUCUUAAGUAAGUUCAUUAAAUAUCAGGCAGACUGCUUCCUUCUAGGGCAGAAGAAAGUAUUCAUUAUGCUUAAUUAUGAGUAAGUAGAACUAGUAUUUAUAUUAAUAUAAGCAUUUUCUGUCAUUCAUGAUGGAAAAUUGGGGGGAGAAUUCAGGAAGCUAAAUUCCCUGGGAUAUUAGGAGGGAAAAUAAAUAGAGUCAAAUCAGAGAAUGCAGAUUGACAAAACAAAACGAAACAAAGCAAUACUGGGCAUGGUCGUACACACCUGUAACCCUAGCAACUGGGGAGGCUGAGGCAACCUGGGUAAUUUAGUGAGACCCUGUCUCAAAAUGAAAAAUAAAGAGGCCUGGGGAUGUGGCUUAGUGAUAAAGUACUACUAGGUUUAAAAGUUAGUACUAAACCAAACCAAACAAAACCAAACAAAACAAAAAUAAUAAGAAGUAUGUUCUCUCUGAUAACCUGAAGAUCAGACUGAAGUCAGAAUUCUAUUAUGUUUGACUAAGGACAGGGAAAGUUCUAGUGAGAGUUGGGGGAAAACAUUGUCAUUUUUUUCUACAGAUAUGUCAUCUUCCUUUUUAAAUUGCUCAGCAGCUCAGUACAAAAUCUCCUGAUGGGUAUCUCAGUUAUGUCUGUUUUCUGUGUGAAGUUAAUCCCAUGUGGAGUUUUCUAUAUAAUAUUUAUAUUUAGGGAUUUUUUUGUCCUCCUUAGAAAAUAAAGACUUUAUCUUUGUUAAAAAUAUAUUUAUAGGGUCCAUUAAAGGAAGUUCAUUUGGAAGCUCAGAACAACCUUGCUUAAUUGGAAGGGAUUAAAAACAAAAACAUAGGUGGUUUAGGAUUGGUGAGGGGGCAGAACAUACUGUGUAUCUCAAAUUCUUUAUCUGUCUCCAGUCCUCAUUUUUGCAUCUUGUUUUCCAUGGCAAUAGACCAUAUUUAGCUCAGAAAAUAGAUGUCAUAUGCAUCUCAUCUUUUGUUCAAUGUGCAAUUGAGGAGGUGAAGCAUUAUUUUCAUGCACAGAAAAGAUUAAAAUAAAGGCUAUGAGUAAACCAAAGUUUAAAGCAGGAAGGAAUUAAAGAAGGCAGAUUUACAGAGCCUUCCAAAAUACUUGAUUGCAAAUUCAGAAUUAUAGUUGUUUUUGCAUUAUUUGCCUUUACAUGUCAGAGAGGGGGUUGAAAUGCAUGGAAGAAAGUUUGUGUCUUUUAUCUAUGGGAAAAAUUAGGGCUAUCAUUUUCAUGUUUCUUCUGACUGCUAUUUCUGGUGAUUCUAAAGCUAUUAAAUGCUAUGAAAUGUAAACUCAUUCUAAUACACUCAAGGAACAGCCAAUUUACACAACAGCUGGGGAAAGAAAAUCACAGCCACUCUAUUGGACCAGCUGAAUUGUGAGAAAGGAAUUUCAUACCCCUCCAGCUGACGCAGCAUGUAGAUCAAACUGGCAGCUAUAUUUUAGGGAAAAUAUGUCACAACAGACAAAUGUAAGAAAAGGACAAAUCCACAAAAAGGAUCCUCUUCAAAUGAAUCACCAUAGUAGGAAAACUGCAGAAUGAGUAAAAGGUUAGGCAUCAUCCUCUCAAUAUUUAGAAAGCCCCUCAUACCCAUUCCAACCACCAAAAGAUUCAGUAAAUUUUUAGAAUUCACUCACAGAAACAGAAUUCAUGAGCCAGAAUUUCCUAAAUAUAUUCCACACUGGUAUCUUUGUACUAUCCUUAGGUAUAAAAUUCUCACAGAACUGUCAAUAAUGAGGUGGAUCUACAAGCAAAAAGAAGAUAAAAGGGGAAAAAAACCAUCAGGUAUAUAUUUUGUGUAUGUACCAGUCAGGGCAUACAACUCCACACUUUAGAAAUGUGCUAAAUAUAAACUUAUUUUCAAAAUGUGCUUGGCACAUUUGCCAAGUGGUGCAUUGUAUUGAGCUUACCAUGUGGCAAAUGUUAUUAUCUGUGAAUCGGGUACUAUUAUUUCUUCCAUUGGGACUGAUAAGAAAGUACCUUCUUCAAGUUUACACAGCAGAGGAAAAGCUGGGUUACAAACUCAGAUCAAUGAUAUGCCAAAGAUUACCUGGUAGUCACCUACUUUUACUUGAAUUACUCUGUGAUGGUGAGAUUGCUAGAGUUCCCAAUUCCCUGAGGAAGUAGGUUUGUGGUGUUUUGUAUGUGUAGAUGCGCAUAUGCAUGCAUGCUACUGGUGACUGAACCCUGAGAUGCUUUACUACUGAACUACAUUUCUAACCCUAUCUAUCUAUCUAUCUAUCUAUUUUUGAGACAAGGUCUUGCUGUACCCAGGAUAUCCUUCAAUUUGCAGUUCCCCUGCCCCAGCCUCCUGAGUAGUUGAGUUUAUUUAUGGGCACCACCACACACAGAGGGUUUGUGAUGUGAACAACUUAGAAUAUCAUCCUAUGUCCUCCACUCAUUUCUUUUGGCAAGAAGUCAUGGAGCCAUAGAGAUGCAAUCUAAUUCCUUCUUUGAACGAUAAAUAUUCACAUAUUUGGAAGUUCUUAUCAAUAUGAUUUUGUAUUCUAUACUGAAGCUUCCCUUCUCAUUACUGAAGUUUCCAACUGUAUUUCACAUGGCAGAUACUGGGUCUCUGAAUUUCUAGCUCUUGGGAAUGUUGUAUGUUCUCUGUGCUCCAAUCUUUACAACUCUAAAACAACGUCCAUAUUAUCUAUCACUUAGCUUAGUUGAGCUGGUUUAAUACUGAAUUGAUAUAUGUAAACUCUUAACUACCUGACAAAUAGCAAGCAGUCAAUAAAUUUUUGUUAUUAAGAAUAUUCUUCUUGGGCUAGUGUUGUGGCUCAGUGGUAGAGCACUUGCCUAGCAUGUGUGAGGCACUGGGUUCAAUUCUCAGCACCACAUAUAAAUAAAUUUAAAAACAAAAUAAAUAAAGGUCCAUUGACAACUAAAAAUAUUUUUUGAAAAAAGAAUAUUAUUUUUAUUAUUAUCAUUACCCAUAGAAUAAUUGUAGUGAUUUAUUUAUGAUCACAUAGGUAAAAUCUCUGACAUAGAUCAUGGAACAAUCUAACCAUUCAAUAUAUGUAAAGUUCUUACUGUUUCCAUCACCAAGGAUAUAAUGUAUGGGUAGGCUCCACGACUCCUUUCAGUCCUGUGGGAGUUUAUUUUUUUCUUCAGUUUUCACACUUGAUGGGUUGCUGCUACAAUAGACCAGUCGGAUUUCUUAACUCUGUAUUAGCAAUAGAUUUUUGUUAUGUAUAUUUCCUUCUUAGACAAAUAUGACCUCUGACUUUGGAAUGAAUGCCAUUCCAUUCUAUUGUAUGUCAAGUGCAGAAAAAAAAAUCAACAAUCUGCUGCAAUGCCUUGAUAAAUGUGUCUUUCCAUGGGACCAGUCAUUAUGAUUCUGGAAUGUUUGAAGAAUGUUCUUGAAGACAGUGGUGGACAUUCUCCACGCCCACCAGUGGGCCAGCAGCAGGGUCUCAGCAAUGAAUGUGUGUCACAGUACAGAUGCUCAAGAUUUUCAUUAGGCUCUACAGCUGCAACACGUCAAGGGAUGCUUUCCCAGGAAAAACAUAGCAGUGUGAAUGAACCUCCAUGUGAAGAGUAAACACGUUUUACUGUGAAAUUUUAUGAGGUAAUUUUCUAGGCAUUUUCUGCUUUCUCUAUUGUUUUGAUCAGCUGAAUAAUAAUUGAAACUAUGUCACAUGCACACAUGCACACACACGGGACACACACACAUAUGAAACAUGUAUUUAACAAUAUUGAACACAUUGAGAAUUUUCUCUCUCUGUCUCUCUGUCUCCCUCUCUCUCUCUCUCUCUCUCUCUCUCUCUCUCUCUCUCUCUCACACACACACACACACACACACACACACACACACACCUAAUUAGUGUGGGAAAAACAAUUAAAAAAACCCACAGGGCACCUGCAUCAUCUGUUUAAUAACUGCCGUGAAGUAUAUGCAUGAUAGGAAGAUAGGGAAGCCAAGUGCUGAGCCAGUUAUCUGGUAGUACCAGGUGUAAGCAGGCCUACAUCAUGGGCACUGCUAAGCAUGUAAUUACAUUAUGAAUGGUCUUCAUGCAAAUUGGCCAUGGAAACAUUGGCAUAUUUUCAUGCUGAGAAAGGAAAGAAUUAUAUCAUUCUUCACAUUCUGAAAUUAAAAACCAUCCUUUUAAAAAUAAAUUUUUCUUUUAUUAGUGCAUUAUAAUUAUACUUCAUUGUUGGGUUCAGUUAGACAAGAUCAUACAUGCAUAGAACUUGAUUUAAUCCAUUUUAAUCCCCAGUGCCCUCUCUUUCCCUCCCACCCUCUAUUCCCCUAUUUUACCUCUACUGUACUGAUCUUCCCUUCACUUGUUUAUUUAUUUGUUUUUUUUAUUGGUGCUUUAUAGUUAUACAUAAAGGUAGAAUAUAUGUAUUUAUACAUGCACAUAGUAUAAUUUUGUUAAAUUUAUUCUGCGUUCCUUCCCCUUUCCUAUCCCUCCUUCCUCCUUCUCAAUUUCCUUUUCUUUUCUAUUCAUCUUCCCCAUAUGUUUACAAUAUCUGAUCCUCUGCCUUUAUCCCUUCCCUUACUCUUAUUCUUUCUCUUCUAAAACCAGCUAUAUUUACUUUAAUCACCAUUUUCAAACUCAUAAAUCUACUAAUAAACUAUAGGAAAAAUGAAUUUUAAAAUAUUGAGUCAAAUCAAUUUUCAUAUUGAUUUUUGCUUCCCAAAAUAUAUUUAACUACAAUUCUGUAAAGCUUAACAUGUUCAAUUAUUUUUCAUAAUUAUAUAAAAAUUAUUAAAUCCUGGAAUUCAAUAUAAUCCUUCAAAGUACAAGUACUUUAAACUACUACCAUCAAUAUUUUCUAACCACAGAUGUUUUCACCCUGUAAAACCUAGCUACAUGAUUGCAAACAAAAAAAAAAGUAGAUUAAAGAAAAACAAUAAAUAAAAUGUGAUUCAUAUGAACAGACGGACAUUUUGACAUUGUUUUGGAUGUUAGAUUUUCUAUUUACUUUUAAUAACUGGAGUUAUUAUCUUUCAUACACUGAAUAUGCAUGGGAUUCUUUUGCAUUUAUUUUACAUCUUUUUUUCCCUUUUCCUAGGAAGAAUUCCUAAGUCGUUUAAUUAUCUAUUGUAGAUAUUUGCUGCCUGGGUCAUCAGCAUGCCUAUGCCUGCAACAAAAUGCAGAUGAUCUCAGAGCCCUUUGUUGAAAACAGACUGGUUGAAUGUUAUAUAUCCUAAAGGUACCCAGGAUUGUUUUCAUCAGGCAUGGAAUGACUAUUUUGAAGGAAUGAUUUUUUUUAUACUCACAGAUCUCUAGAAAUGGGAGGCACAUCACACUAUGCAGGACUACAUGCAGAAGCACCAGGGUUAGUUAGGAAGGGACAGGGGAGGGAAUGUGUACAAGAGCUUUUAUUGUGGUUUCUGCAGGAAGGAAUGGGUGAGUCCCCAUAAGCAGAUAUAGGAUUGGCUAAUUUGAAUAAUUUCAGGAGGCUAUGAGCAAUAUAUGCCCCUAGUUGUCUGGAACCUGGGCCUGGAUUGUUUAGGGAAGGUGAAUAGUGGUCUGGAAUAUAACAGCCUGAUAAUAGAGAUAGUUGAGUGUGUGGGCUCUGGAUUGAUGGGUUUGCAAAUGAAAUCUAUGCUCCCAGGGUAGUGGUUUGCUCUCUCUAGGAACUAGCUAACUCUGAGUGGGUCAUCCUCUCCCAAGUCAGAAAGACUCUAAGAUCCAAAAUGUGAAAACAAGAGAAUAUAGAAAAUACUACUCAUUAUUAAUGAGGUUUAGGUGCCCACAGUGAGAGAAACACUGGCUUGUGAGUUCCUCAAGGGAGAUUUGUUUUAUCUCUCAUGUCCAUCCAGAGCAGAAAAUUUGGCCCUUGGGAAGUGGUUAUAAAUAUUUGGCAUAUUCUGGGUCAUAGACUUCACUACUGGUAAAUUCUGCAUGAAUUUGAAUUAUGUAAAAUAUUUUAGGAGGAAAAACAAAACCCUGAGUUAUAACUGUAACUUCUUUAAUAAUAACACCAAUCUGUAGCAUUUAUUUUGGUGUACCUCAGAUUGACUAGGUUGCUGCCUAUGCUUCCAAAUAAUUGACAGGGAUGAAUUUCAAAUGGAACAUUGGAUUCAGUGUAUGAGCUCUUUGAUGAGCACUACCCCCCUCCCCUGCCCUGCUUACUUGCUAAAUCUAUGCACUUCUCUUUCCUAGCAUCUGUGUAUCUGUUUAUGCUCACUACCAUGGUGCUUAGGAGAUCAAACACAUCUGUCAGUCAGUCCGACAGCAACCAUUUAUUGAGCACCCAGGAGGGUACAUAACCCACAGAGUGAAUCAGAGUGAAUAACAAGAACCAAGCUAAAUUACUAUUGCCAAAAUGAGUGGAAGCAACAGGCUCCUCUUUAAGGAUGAGCAAAUUCAAGUUGUUCUCAUUUUUAAAAGAUAUUUUGGGAAUAAUGAAUUCAGAAGAUUUUGUCAAGCAUUAUUCCUUAACAUUUUGGAAAAUAGAUUGUCCUUAAAGGAAAUCUGAGUGCAUUCAGUUUAGGCUCAUUUCAUAUUACUUCAUCAAGUUACGAAUUUAUAAAAGCUGUUUUACAUUUUGUAAAAUCCUUUGUGAUUUUUUUAGUGAAAGUUUUCUUUUUUUAAAAUGGAAAAAUAUUAGUGGAAAUUAAUGCCAACAGUGAGACAUCUCUUUAAUACAUAAAGUGUUAAAGUUCAAACAACCCUUAUCUUUUUUAAGAAGAGUACUAAAGUUUGAGUUUUGUUUUGGGAGGGGUAUGCUUUGGAUUUGCUUUCUGGUUAUGUUGCAUAAAUUCAGCUACCUGACAUAAAAGUAUAUAUUAAACCUUUCAAUAGUCUAUCAAGCACUUUGAAUGCUGGUUGACCUUGCAAUAUCUUGCUAUCCUUUCCUUUUGAUUCCUCUAUCCCCAGUACACUAAGCACUUAAUCAUGGUUUUCUUUUAAUUCCAUGUUAGGUUAUAUCUCCCUAUUGUACUCUUUUUUAAGUGUUAUUCUGUAUUUCAUAAAAGUUAUUAUUGUUUCAAAAAAUGUUUAAUGUCUGUCUUUCCUACUAGAAUAUAAAUGCAAAAAGUUAUGACUGAAGUCUGGCUUUUUGAAGGAAUAUAGCCCCCUAGCUUAGCAUAGUACCUUUUUAUUUGAUUGCUCAGGAAAUGUUCUAAAAUAAAUACAUUAGUGAUUGUUUUUGGAUUUCUUCUAGGUAUGUAAAGCAUGCAGAUUGUACCUGAUGAUCUGUGAGUUAAAGCUGAAAAUGGGGAACAUUUAAAUGCUUAUCCCUCCUCCCUAGUCUCCUUCAGUGAGGGAAUGUAAAAUUAAAAGUAAAACAGGAUUGAACUCUCUCUCCCUGCCUCUCCCACCCUCUCUUCCUCUUCUCUCCUCUCCUCUCCUUUCCUCUCCCCUCCUCUCCCUCUCUCUGUUUUGGAAGAUGAGGAAGGAGGAGAAAUAAGUAGAGAAUACCGAAGAUCCCUGUGACCUUGACAUGACUGACAUAGAGAAGAUAUAAUUAUACACUAAUUUGGAGUAGCAAAUUCAGUAAGUUAUAAAAACAAAUAAAAAGACAAUUUACUAAUGGAAGAAAGAAAUAGAAUAUAAAUCUGAAGAAAGAAAAAGUAAUUGUUUUAUUUGCUGUUUAGCUUGUGUAUGCUGUCUCUUGAAACAUUAAUCUGCUUUAGUUAACAAGAUUUAUCAUAUGAUAUCAAAAUAAAAGAUUGUUUUUCAACUUUGGAUGAAAAAUGCUUUUAUAUCUAGAAUAUUUCUUCUACUAGAAGCUUGAUUGGUCACAUUUUAUUUAGUGGCAGCUGUUGGCUUCAGGGAAUGUCAAGGAGAAUAGAGGAGAUGAGGAAGAGGGAGAAUGUGCAAAAGAGGGAAAGAAUCGACUCCAAUUUCCUCAACUCCCCUCAGGUACUCUCAGUACAGGCUGAACUGAAGAUGCAGUCGUAGCCAGUUGUCUAUAGAUGUACACUGCACUUCAGCCUGCCCAUGCUUAAUCAUUAUGAGUUGCCUAUUUUUACUGCCCAAACUCAAUACUUGGACUCAAGAGUAUAUCUGUGUGGUGCUGAACAGCUCUGCGACAAAGAGAAAAAUCCAUUUCAUUACAACAAUCUCUUUUUCUGUUUCAAAGAUUACUCAAUGUUUCUGAAGAAACAGGUAAAUCAAAGUCAGGUUAGAUGGUUAUUAAAAAUAUGGAAUUUGAACCUUGUUAAAAACCUCAUAAAUUAGAAUUACUGGGUAUGUAGUCUGGGAAUAUGCAUUUUAUUAAUCUCUCCAGGCAAUGCUGAUAAGCAAUAGGACUAAGAACUCUAGUCAAUGUAAUACUAAAUAAGCAAUGCAGUUGACUUUUUAAUGAUUUUUUGCACCAUUUAUUGCUUCAAGCCAUGUAUUAAAAGUCAGAAACCCCAUCUGUACAAGUUUAAAAGUAAGAGAUUUACCUUUAAAAAAAUAGAAUUUGUCUUUAAAAGACCCUCUUCCUCAUCUCCUCUAUUCUCCUUGACAAAAUGGGUCUUUGCUUUGUUCCUAACAGUGACUUUUGGGAAAAAUAGGCUGCUUAUGAAACUGUUGAUAUUUGUGCUUUCAACCCACAAAAUGAUGAUUUUCUAAGGUUCAGCUUAAUGGUUUAACUCUCUGAGCACCAUUUCCAGAAUUUGUUCUUUUAAUUUGUUCUUUUUAGUUAUACAUGACAAUAGAGUGUAUUUUGAUAUAUUAUACAUACAUGUAGUAUAACCUAUUCUAAUUAGGAUCCCAUUCUUGUGGUUGUACAUGGUAUGGAGUUUCAGGGAUCAUGUAUUCAUGUAUGAACAUAGGAAAGUUAUAAGGGAAGGGGAAUGGGAUUAAGAAAGACAGUAAAAAAAUAUUUUCAGCAUUUUAUGUGGGAUCAUAACUCUACUUGUAGGGUUAAAUGAGCUUUUAUAAGUAAUGCACUCUAAAGCUAUAAUGUGAGUUUUUCUUUUAUCUUUCCUGGAGACCACAUUAUUAAUAAGUGUUGAUCUUUAUAUUUGAGCAUUGUACGCCAUUGAAAUGUGGCCUGCAAUAAUUUUCAUUACAUAUACCCAUAAAAUCUGCUUCAUAUUUUGGAAAUCUGAAUGAUGACUACAAAAAAACAAAACAACAACAACAACAAAAUAAACUCAUCAUAUGAGAAUUUUCCAAGGAACUCAUCAAAGUUAUGGCUUCUUGUAUGCUACAACAACUUCUUAGAGUUGUUGUUUUUUCAUACAUCUUCAUGCCAUCCGUUAAUUUUUUUUGACUCAGCAAGCCACAGAGCAACUAUUUUAUUAUGUUGUUCUCCCUCAUUGUCUGUGCAUCCCAGAAAGGAAUAUGCAAUUUCAGGAAGACUUUUCCAAUAUUCACAUGCUGGCCACACUCCAGGACCUCAAGAUGGAGAUUGCAAUCACUAUUUAAACUAAAAGGGGCUUCAUUGCCAUAAGUUAUGAAAUUACUGCCAAUAAUCAUUGAGCAAUCAGUGAUAUGAAAGUGGUGUUAUUUAAAAUAAGUAGAGGAGGUUGUGAUCUUUAAAAAUGUGAAGAAUUUAAUUUGGUCAAGUAAAGGUUGGCAGAUAAUUUAUCAAUACAUAGAAAAACUUGGUGAAUGACUCAAGUGGGAUGGUUUGUAAGAACUGUGACCAGGAAUUGGUGAGUUAGAGAUGCUAACAUUAGUUCAACAAGAACAAGAUGAAGUAUUUCAACCCAACUUUCUUUUCCUGGAUAAUUUUAUUUGACUUCUAAUGUAAGACAUCUAAUAAUGUCUUUCAUAGGUUCUUAUAAAAGAGUUGGGGAAAAGAUGCUUUUUUGACUGAGCAAUGAGGGAGAAUUAUUGCCUCAUGAAAACUGCAAGGAGUUUUAUUCACAGAGAUGUUAAAUGACCUCUGCACAGUGAUGUGCAAGAGUUGUGCUAGCUUUUGAGUGUUGAUUGAGUGAUAUCACAUUGAUAACUUGGAAAUGGUCAUGAUGGGGUUAUUCACAUCUAGAAAAUUAGCCCACAUUACAAAGUUGAGCUUUAUUUUCUUCUUGAGACUCAUUUCUUAAACAUUUACUAGCAUACUAUUUUUUGAAAUUUUUUAUUUGUUCUUUUUAGAUUGCACAUGACAGUAAAAUGUAUUUUGACAUAUUAUACAUACAUGAAGUAUAACUUAUUCUAAUUAGUAUCACAUUCUUGAGGUUGUACAUAAUGUGGAGUUUCACUGGGCACAUAUUCAUGUAUGAACAUAGGGAAGUUAUGUCUGAUUCAUUCUACCAUCUUCCCAGUUCUUGCCCCCCUCCCUUCCCUUCAUUCCCCUUUAUUUAAUCCACUGAAUUACUAUUUUCCCCCAUCCCCUUGUUGUGUGUUAGCAUCCUCAUACCAGAAAGAACAUUCAACCUUUGGUUUUUUGGGACUGGCUUAUUUCACUUAGCAUGAUAUUCUCUAGAUCCAUCCAUUUACCAGUGAAAGUUUAAAGUCAUUCUUUUUAUGGAUGUGUAAUAUUCCAUGGUGUAUAUUUACCACAUUUUGUCUAUUCAUCUGUCGAAGUGUACCUAGGUUGGUCCCAUAGCUUAGAUAUUGUAAUUUGAGCUACUAUAAACAUUGAUGUGGCUGCAUCACUAUAGUAUGCCAAUUUUAAGUCAUUCGGAAAAUAAAUACUGAAUUAGACAGUAUGCCAGAGUAAGGGGAGUUUGGAGAGAAAAGGAUGUCACAUGUGCUAGGCUGAAGUGGUUCCUAGUCUGAUAUGAGAAAAGGUAUGUAGACAACAAAGCCCUAUGAAUUGUACUCCCUGGGUUUCUUUUUCGCUCUUGUCUUUUCCCAGUUUCUCUAUUCAUAUAUUAUGAGCCACAUGGGGCUUUUUACUAUUUCUUAAACACCCCAGGCUUAUGCCUGCAUCCAGCUUUUGCACCUGCUAUUGUCUCUGCCGGGAAUAUUCUUCCUCCAGAUCUUUGCAUGCCUGACUCCCUCUCAAUCCAAAUAUCACUUCUUCAGAAGAACCUUCCCUGACAAACUCCAAUCUAAAGUAAUCAACUUACUUUGCCCCUCAAUCCUCUGUUAUCACAAAAAUCCAUUUUUUAAAAAAUAAAUAAUUUUAGAUUGGUUUUAGAUUUAUAGAAUGUAGAAAGCGUUUCUAUAUACACCACCUCACUUCCACUAUUGUUGACAUCUUGCAUUACUAUGAUACAUGUCUUACAACAGAAAAACUGACAUUAUUACUUUACUUUGAACUGAACUUCACAUUGUAUUUGAAUUUUGCUAGUUUUUACCUAAUGCUCUUUUCUGUUUCCAGGGUUACAAUCAGUAUAUAUUAUGUCUAGUUACCUUGUUUCCUUAUCUUCUUCUGGUCUAUGAUAGUUUCUCAAAUUUUCAUUAUUUUUGUGACCUUAUAUGUUUUAAAGAUUAAAAAUUAAAAUUCUCCCAUCACAGUUCUCUUUGGAAGAAAGUUGUUAAGUACACUCGACACUCAAAGGGUAGGAUGUUAAGUUCAAUUCCAUGAGGACUGAGGAUAUACCUAAAUUGUGAAAUUUUUGGUGGAAUGUUUUGUAAAACAGUAGUCAAUUUAGGUUUGUCUAAAGAUUUUCUGAAGGUUAGACUGGGUUUAUGGGUUUUUUGGGGGAAGACAUCAGAAGUGAGGUGCUGUUCUCAUGACAUCAUAUACAAGAUAUAUAAUAUCAACUUGAUAACAUCAUUGAUGUUGUUAACCUUGACCAUUGAGAAGGAGGUAGUGUUUACUGGGUUUCUCCAUUGGAAAAUUACUCCACUGUCUCUUCUUUCAUCACAGUUAAGUACAUUCCACACUCAAGGGGUGGUGUAUUAAGUCCAAUUCCAUGAGGACUGAGGAUCUACCUAAAUUGUACUUUUGUACCAGAGAUCUGUCCUCUCUUCCACAUUUACUUGCUUAUUUAUUUAUUGCAUAGGAACAUGGAUCUCUAUUUAUCAUUCUCUAUUAUAACUCAUUACUAUAUUAUUUUUUGAUGCUCAAUUUAGUCUGGCCACUAGGAACUAUUUCAGAUUGAUUCCUGUGUCCCUUUGGUGCAUCUUUAACCUUUUGUUUUUUGAACACUAUAUUAUAUGUCUAGUACUAUAAGAUGCUUCAGGUUCAUUUUCUGUAGUCUCUGCCCAAGCUACUUCUCCAAGAAGCACUAGUUACUUUAAUUGGAUAAUGGUAUUAAAAAUUAAAAGCUGCUCACAGAGUGAGCUUGUUGCUACAGAGAUAUGCUUUCUUAUAAGCCCUCUCAAUGGGCAAAGGUAAGGAAAGCAAAUAUGUGUUCUGAAUCAUAUAUAUAAAGUUAUUUAAAAUAUUUAGGUACAUAUUCAUCUUCAUCCGCAUUAAAUUAAACUAAAAGAGUUUAUACUGAUGUCCCCAAUUCUGAUCCAGAAUCAAUGUUUUGUUUUCCUACCUACUUUGCUUCUCUGAACCUCUGCUCCAACAAUGAGAAACCUGAUUCCCACCAUCUACCAUCCAGUUAUUUUCUGUUCCAUCCCAGUAUACUGGUAUCUCAACUUUGGAACAGUUACUCUGUAUUCCCAUGAGAAAUGACUUUACCCAAACUAGAUUACAGUGUGUAUAUUCUGUUUCUAUUAGUGUUUAAAGUUUUCAGUCAAAACUAUUUAUUUAUUUAUUUAUUUAUUCUUUCUAGAUAUACAUGACAACAGAGUGUAUUUUGACAUAUUAUACAUACAUAAAAUAAGUAUAACUUGUUCCAAUUAGGAUCCCAUUAUUGUGGGUGUACAUAAUGGAAAGUUAUACUGGUCAUAUAUUCAUACACAAGGACAGGAAAUAAAAGUCCAUUUCAUUCUGUUGUCUUUACCAUUCCCAUCCUUCUCCCUUUCCCUUCAUUCCCCUUUGUCUAAUCCAAUGAACUUCCAAUCUUUCCCUCCCUUGUUGUAGGUUAGUAUCCACAUGUCAGUGAGAACUUUCUGCCUUUUGUUUUGGAGGAUUGGCUUAUUUCACUUAGCAUGAUAUUCUCCAGUUCUAUCCAUUUACUGGCAAAUGCCAUAAUUUCAUUCUUCUUUAUGGCUGAGUAUUAUUCCAUUGUGUAUAUAUACCACAUUUUCUUUCUUCCUUCAUCUGUUUUAUGGCACCUAGGUUGGUACCAUAUCUUGGCUAUUGUGAAUUGAGCUGCUAUAAACAUUAAAGUGGCUGUGUCACCAUCGUAUGUUGAUUUUAAUUCUUUUGGGUAUAAACUGAGGAGUGGAGUAACUGGGUGAAAUGGUGGUUUCAUUCUAAGUUUUCUAAGGAAACUACAUACUUCUUUCCAGAGUAAUUGAAUUGAUUUUCAGCCCCACCAGCAACAGAUAAGUGAAUCUUUUACCCCACAUCCUCACCGACAUUUGUUGUUCUUUGUAUUCUUGAAAAUUGCCAUUCUGGUUGGAGUCAGAUGAAAUCUCAGUGUAGUUCUGAUUUGCAUUUCUCUAAUUACUAGAGAUGUUGAACACUUUUUCAUAUAUUUUUGACCAUUUGAAUUUCUUCUGUAAAGUGCCUGUUUGGUUCCUUAGCCUAUUUAUUGAUUGGGUUAUUUAUUUAUUUAUUUAUUUUGAGUUUUUUGAGUUCUUUGUAUAUCCUGGAGAUUAGUGCUCUGAGGUGCUGCUGGUAAAUACUUUAUCCCAUUCUGUAGGCUCUCUGUUUAUGUUCUUGAUUGUUUUCUUUUCUGUGAAGAAGAUUAUUAGUUUGAUACUAUUCCAUUUAUUGAUUCUUGAUUUUACUUCUUGCACUGUAAGUAACUUAUUGAGGUUAGUUCCUAAGCUGUGCCGCAGUCUGGCUGGGCACAAAAUCACAAGCCACCACACACCUUGUAGAUUCAAACAGCAACUCUUUAUUCCCGAACUCACACCAGCACUCUACACACGUUCUGGGGCAAAAUCACGUUCUGGGCAAAAUCACGUUCUGGGCAAAAUCCCAAAUACUCUCUCAAUCCCGCGAGAACUCAAUGGGCAACUCAAGGAGCAGGCGCACCUGAGGCAGCAGGAUACGCCCUAUUCCCAGCAGGAAUAAUCUUAAACCUUAAACCUGGAACCUAAACCGGGAACGNUGUUUAAAAACUCCACAGUCAAAAAAUAAAACUGAUCAGAAAAACAUUAACCUAGGUUUGUAUGAGCUCAAAAAAUAAAAAUAGAACCUUAUGAUGUGGAAAAAUGCAAUAAUAAAAUAGCUAUUGAAAAAAGCAUCCUGGUUAAUCACUGUCGCAGAUGUAAGAAUGGCCAAGCUGGAGUUCUGGAUAUCAGCUGUUAUGGAUUUGAGUCAAAUCAUCUUCUUUUCGAUCUGUAGAAACUGUUUUAGUUAAUCUCUCUGGAAUCCAAAUGGGCUGCUGUUCUCCCUGUGGAAAAACACAAACAGACCCCCGACUCCAGACAAUCACUGGGUCAGGACCUUUCCAUUGUCCUGUUAGAAUAUCUUUCCAAAGUACUUUAGGCUUAUGUACAUUUUUUGGAUACAUAUGCCUUUCCGCAGCACUAAGUCCUGAUGAAUCCAAAUUUAAAAAGUUUAGAGUAAAAAGCGUUAUUUUAAGUUUAUCUUUGGGGGAUAUAUACCCCCUUCCAAUUCCCUCUUUUUGCUUUAAUAAGUAUGUUUUAAUAGUUUGAUGAGCUCUUUCAACUAUGCCUUGUCCCUGUGGAUUGUAUGGGAUUCCUGUUAUAUGAGUAAUACCAAAUGAUGAGCAAAAUUGUUUAAAAGAGGUAGAGGUAUAGCCAGGACCAUUAUCGGUUUUUAACUGUUUAGGAACGCCCACAGUGGCAAAAUUUUGUAAGCAAUGAGCUAUAACAUCUUUAGUUUUUUCUCCGGCAUGAAGGGAGCCCAUCAAAAAUCCGGAAGAAGUAUCAACUGUAACAUGUAAAUAUUUUAAUUUUCCAAAUUCUGGCAAGUGUGUGACGUCCAUCUGCCAAAUAUGGUUAGGUAUCAGUCCUCUAGGAUUGACUCCAAGAUUAACUUGUGGUAAAAAUGUCACACAAUUUUGACAUUGUUUUAUUAUAUGUCUGGCUUGUUCCUUAGUUAUUUUAAAACGCUUUUGUAAAGUAUUAGCAUUAACAUGAAACCUUUUAUGAAAAUUUGUAGCUUCUUCAAAUGUAGAGAAAAUAUGUAUGUCAUGUGUAGUUUUAUCUGCUAAAUCAUUGCCUAAACUAAGGGCUCCAGGCAAUCCUGUAUGUGCCCUAAUAUGUCCUAUAAAGAAUGGAUCUUUUCUGUCCCAGAUUAGACUUUGUAUAGUGGAAAACAAAGAGAAAACAGUAGAAGAAGGGGAAAUCCUACCAGCAUCUUCAAGAGAUACUAUAGCAUUAACUACAUACUGACUAUCAGAAAAUAAAUUAAAUACAGAAUCUUUAAACAUCACAAAAGCUUGUAAAACUGCAUUAAACUCUACCUUUUGAGCUGAUUGUUUGGGUACUAAAAAUGUAAAAGUUUGAUCAGGUGUAACUACUGCUGCUGUACCAUUAUUUGACCCAUCAGUGAAUAUAUUUGGAGCAUUCUUGAUGGGGGUUUUUCUUGUCAUUUUUGGAAAAACUACAGGAUGCUUAGACCAAAAGACAACAAAGGAUUAGAUGGUAAAUGAUUAUCAAAUGUAACAUUAGAUUUACACAUGAUUAUUGCCCAAGUAUUUAACUCAUUAGCUAACUCAUCAAUUUGAUCCAUAGUAUAUGGAGUAAUAAUUUUAUUGGGAGAAAUUCCAAACACUCCCUUCGCUGCUUUUAUUCCUUUGAAUAUUAAUUGUCCUACAGCCUCAGGAUACCUAGUAAGAAUAGUGUUAGGAGAAUAAGAUAAAUGUAUCCACAAUAAUGGACCUUCUUGCCAAAAUACUCCUGUAGGAAUAUUUUUUGUUGGUAGUACAAUAAAUAAUAAAGGCAAACUUAUAUCAAUUCUAUCCAAAUGCAUAUUUUCCAUAUAUGGUAGAGAGUUUGGCUUACAUUUUCCACUAGUAGGCACAGGAUUUCUGGUCCAAUACCUAGGUUCUUGAUCCACUUUCAGUUGAGUUUUGUGCAGGGUGAGACAUAGAGGUUAUAUUUCAUUCUACUACAUAUGGAUUUCCAGUUUUCUAAAGACUAUUUGAUGAAGAGGCUAUCUUUUCUCCAGUGUAUGUUUAUGGUGUAUUUGUCUAGUAUGAGAUAACUGUAUUUGUGUGGGUUUUUCCUCUGUGUCUUCUAUUCUGUUCCAUUGGUCUUCGUGUCUGUUUUUGUGUCAAUACCAUGUCGUUUUUGUUACUAUAACUCUUCUAAAUGGAGAAAAAAUGAAAGCAUUCUCUCUAAAAAGUGGAAUAAGACAGGGAUAUCCUCUUUUGCCAUUCCUAUUCAACACAGCCUUUAAAACCCUAGCCAGAGCAAUUAGACAACAGAAAUAAAUCAAACCAUCCCUAUUUGUUGACAAUAUGAGUCUGCAUGUAGAAGACCUAAAAAGUUCCACCAGAAAACUUCUAGAACUCAUGAGUUCAGAAAAAUAGCAGGAUAUAAAAUUAACACCCAUAAAUCAAUUGCAUUUGUAUACAACAAUGAUGAAUUAGAUGAACUAGAAAUCAGAAAAACAAUCUCAUUCACAAUAGCCUCAAAAAAUAUACAUCUGGGAAUCAAUGUAACAAAAGACAUGAAAGGCAUCUACAAUGAAAACUACAGGACACUAAAGAAAGAAAUUGAAGAAGACCUUAGAAGAUGGAAAGAUCUCCCAUAUUUUGGAUAUGCAGAAUUAAUAUUGUCAAAGUGGCCAUACUACCAAAAGUGCUAUACAGAUUUAAUGCAAUUCCUGUUAAAAUUCCAAUGACAUUCUUCAUAGAAAUGGAAAAAUCACUCAUGAAAUUCAUCUGGAAAAAUAAAAGGCCCAAAAUAGCCAAAGCAUUCCUUACUGGAAAUAGUGAAGUAGGAGGCAUCAUGAUACCAGGCCUUAAAUUAUACUACAAGACUUUUUUUUUCCUAUAGACAAAACCCAGUUUUAAAGCAUUAUAAUGCUCAUUAGCAAUGGGAAUUAUUAUAAUUUUUAAUAUAUUGUUUGUGUUUCCAAAUAGAAUAUGAACUCUAGGAAAACAGAAGUUUCUUAUGUAACAUCUUGCUAAACAUUCUAACUCCAGCAUCAAAGACAGUGCCCAGCACAUUAAGAACACCAACAAACAUAGUUAAUAUUCAUUAUAUGCAAAGAUAAAAUCACUCAAAAUACAACUUAUCAUUUGAUUUUAUUCAUUUGGCUAAGUUUAAUUAGGUACUAGAUGGUCAACCCAUUCCUUCAAAGCAUGCAAGAAUUUUUUUAUUAAUAAAAUGCCAUAGAAAUGUUUUGUAUUGGAAAUAAGACUGACAAUAGGCUUGUACAUUCAUACCUAAAUGUCUGUUUCUUCUUUCUCUGUAGGAAAUAAUGUCUGAACCUACUUACUGAACAAAACUAACGAAGAUGAUGCUAAUCACCAUCUGACUAGAGUCUUAAAGCUGAACCCCAAAACACUGGUUAUCUAAUUCUUGAUGACUUGCAGUUCAUUCAAAUAGGUUAUUGAAGAGAUGCAGAAUCUUUGAGUGGGUAUUGCCUGAUCCCUCUCAACUCUCCUCAGUGUGGGUGUCCUUAUCUUCUAUUAAAGAUGGAUCUGUAUUACAUUUUCACAUAAAGAUGCUAAGCCCAUACCCUUAAAUUGCUACAGAUAACCUAUUAUCCUGAUCUAAUGUCUACACUUAAUGUCUACAUUCUAGACAAUUACUAAAUGAAAUAAUCUUACAUUUUCAAACAUUUAGUAUUUUUUACCAGUGUAACUGAUCAAAAGUAAUAUAUCAGGAAUGUUGUUUGAAUGAAAUGUGCUGUAUAUAUGUUAUGAUUUAAAUAUGAAAUGUCUCCCUGUGUGAAAAGCUUCUGUGUGAAACAAUGCAAGUAUAUUCAGAGGUGAAAUUAUUAAAUCUAUGAGAGCUGUAACCUAAUCAGUGGAUUAAUCUGCUGAUAUGAAUUAAUUAUGUGAUAACUGUAGACAGGUAGGGAGUGACUGAAGAAAGUAGAUCACUGGAGCUUAUAUUUUGUCCCUGGUGAGUGGAUUACUCUGCUUUCUGGCUAUCAUGAAAUGAGCAGCUUUCCUUUGCCAUUCCCUUCCACCAUGUUGUUCUAAUUUACCUUGGUCUCAGGGGAAUAGACUCAGUCAACCAUGAACUGAACCUCUGAAAUUCUGAGCCAAAAUAAACUUUCUCUCCUCUAACUUGUUCUCUUUAGGUCUUUUGAUCAUAGCAACAAAAAGCUGACUAAAGCAAUAUAUUUUUUUCUAGAUAUUUUUAAAUUACAUUUAAGUUUUUACAGCAGAAGAUCUAAUGCCUAAAUCACAUAUUGACUGCAUCCCUGAUACCCCUAUAUGCAGAAAUGUUUUUACCACUAGCCUUUAUUAUAGUUGAAUUUAACAUCUUGUUAAACUGUGGGGUACUGUUGCAGGAAAAAACCAAAUCUAUGAAAUUAAAUAAAGUCCCAAUUUCUCAUUUGAUGAAGGUAACAUUUCAAAUUGGAUGGCGGGGUUGGGGUAAAAAUAAGGAAUAUUUUAUCAUUUUUGAGUUCACAUGCCUUCCUACUAUUUUUGGGUUUUUUAAAGGCAAAAUAUAUUACUUUUUGAACUUAAAAUGACUGCCAGGAAAAAAUAUUCAAGAACUUACGUGUGUAGUAAUUGAAAAGAUGAUGCUUAUGUACAACAUAUAAUUACUUCUUUGUGACAAUGUCCAAAAAGAAGAAUAAUUUAUUUCAAUUUUUAUUCUAGGAAUAAGAAUACUCCUAGGAAAUUGUUUUGUUUAAUUUUUAACCCUGAAAAUUAUGUAAUUGUCUAUAUUUUGUAUUUUAUUUUAAAUGUUAUAAUGAUUAGAGUCAUAUUUUUGCCACAUUUUAUAUUUAUUCUGUUUUGUUCCAAAUGGAUGUAUCCAUUUAAGCUUCUUCAUAUCUUUUCUAAAACAAUAUUGGGUAUAAGUAAAUAAUUAAAUAGGCAUAAAUUAUUAAAUGAUUAGUUCUAUCAGACUAUUGUAUCCGGAAUACUCAUAGCAGAUGAUCAAAUCACAGUUUUUUCCUGAAUAAUGUUGGACAUGAGCAGAAGAAUUCUCACUCUUUAGCUCCACUUUUUUUUGGUGGGGGUGGGGUGUGGUACCAGGGAUUGAACUCAGGGGCACUCACCCACUGAGCCACAUCCCCAGCACUAUUUUAUAUUUUAUUUAGAGACAGGGUCUCACUGAGUUACUUAGGGGCUUGCUUUUGCUGAGGUUGGGUUUGAACUUGUGAUCCUCCUGCCUUAGCCUCCCGAGCGGCUGGGAUUAUACCCGACCACUUUUCUUAGAAUAUAUAACAAUCACUUCACUUCAUAGUUAAGAGCUACUGCACAAAGCUAUCAUAUUUACUUGCAAUCACAUGCUGUCUUACAUGAAUUGCAUUUCAGUGCCUCUAAUGGAGAUUUGAGAAUUGUUUUAAACCCUGGAAAAUAUGAAGGUGACAUGCUAAUCUCAGCAGGAAUGUCCUCUCAAAUCCCCCUUUGGACCACUGCCCUUGCAAAUGUCACAUUGUUUCAGUUGUCUAUUACUGCAUAAAAAUUUUUCCAAGGGUUAGGUCUGUAGCUCAGUGGCAGAGCACUUGUCUAGCACAUGUGAGGCACUGCCUUCGAUCCUUAGCACAACAUACAAAUAAACAAAUAAAAUGAAGGCAUGCUGUCCAUCUUCAACUCCCAAAAAAAAAAAAAUUAAAAAAACCCUCUCCCAAUAAAGAAGUAAAACAACACCAGUCAUUUUCUCCUUAAGGUUUGAAGUGUUGACUGUUCUUAGCUAGGAAGCACUUUUCUAGUCUUUCAUGCAGUUUGACAGUGAAAGGGACUAGAGUCAUCUGUGAGAAUUCAGCUCAUAGAUGGCUGUCAGGUAAUUCUCACUGAGUGCUGGGAUUUUGGCAAAGGCUGUCAGUGAAACACCUACACAGUGCCUUGUUAUGUGGCAUGGCUUUCCAGAGUGAACAUCCUGACAGAGAACACCAAGGGGAAAUUACUGCCUUUUUAAACCUAACCUCAGAAGUCAUGAAGCAUCAAUGUAGCCACAUUAUAUUAGUUAGAAGCUUGUAACUAAGACCAGUCUACAUUCAAGAAGAGAAUUAAACAUCACCUUUUAUCAGUAAAAUUGCCUAAGAAUCUGUGCUCCUGCUUUGAAGACAUCUCACACAUCUUUCUCUUUAGCGUUGAUUCUUAUUUGUUUUAGGUGACUGCCUUUCCUAUCUAGUUACCAUUUUCUAGUUGGGUUCCCUCCACUGAGCCUCUGUCUUCCUAUACAUUAUCACCACAAAACCUUCACUAUGAUGGCCUAAAACUCAAUGUCUUCUUGUCACUAUUUUCUGUCCCCAAAGUUAUGCAACAUUGUUGAAUUCUGUUGUUUUCUUUGUGCUUAAGGGAACAACAUACUGUGCUCAGAUUAAUUAAUAAGAGUUUUCAGUCUUUAUUGCUAAUGAGCCUAAAAUUUUAAGGCUUCUCUGGAUCUAACAGCUAUAUCGAUUACAGCUUCUGGACAUUAGCCAUCAUCCUAGUACCCUUAGUUAAUUCAGCAAAGUGGAACGGAAUCUCUCCAUUUAUCUUCUUGCCUUUAUGCACUAGUCAACACUACUACCUCAUAGACCAUUUCACAUUCUCUUCAGUUUGUGAUCUAUCUGGUUGAGUAGGGUUAGAUCAAAAGGCCAAUUUUUUUAUCAGGACAUAGUUCCAAAUAUUAAAAGAUUUGUUUUUACUGUAGGCACAUGAGAUCACUGGAGAGAAUCAAAGGAUUAGUUUUUAUGACUCCUGCCCUAUUUGUAGGGACUUCCCAGAAAUUUCUACCUAGAAGAGCAUCCCUUGCCCUUUGAAAUGUAAAAGCUGGAGAGAGGAGAGGAGGGAAAAGCAAACUAUGUUAUAUGCAUUUAUGAAUAUGUCAAAGUGAACCCCACUAUUAUGUAUAACUAUAAUGCACUAAUAAAAUAAUUUUAAAAAUCCAUGAAAACACUCCAUAGUACAAUCUUAGAAUUAGUCAAGACAAAAUGUUCCUAUAUAGAAAAUUAAUGAUAAUUAUGGAAAUGAUAUUACAGUGUUUUUAUUAAGUGGAUAUUAAUGAUAGAAUAUAGUGAAUAUUAUGCAGGCUGUUUAUGUACAUGUAUAUAUAAAAAAUGUUUAAUGGAAAUAGAACAUAUUUUGUUAAAUCAGCACUACACUAUGCCAUAUAUGUAAACCAGUUAUUUCCAAAUGUAUGCAACUUGACAUCUUAACUGAUGUUAGAUAAUUAUCCUAUUUGUUACCCUACAAUUUAAUAUUUUAUGAAAUGUGUAUUUUUUAACCUUUAAGCUACAAAUUUUAAAAUCAGGUUGACAUCCUAAAGUAUGGAAUUUAAUUUACUUUAGUUAAAUUAAUGUCCAAUUUGAAAGACAACUCAACAUCUUUUGCUCAGCACAGCUGUAUAAAAUUUCCAACAGAGGAGAAACUUCCCACUGUGUUUAAACUUUGGAUUUAUUUACAGAGGAUUAAAAAUAUCAGCACUUUAUAGUCAC
rnacentral:lncRNA from 1 species